AAAAAGCCAACCCAAAACAAUCCAAUUUAAGUAGUCUUCUUCUAUACCCAAGUUUCCUUUCAAUAUCUUCCUUUACCUUCAUAGCUUCCUCUUAUUAGUAGAAUCUUUUGAUCUUAUUUAAUGAUCUUUGGGUAGGAGAACGUCUUUCCAAUUACACCUUUUUUCUACAAUUCUCUACAGGGUUGCCAUUACUAGAUCGACUUUGUUGGGAAAGGCUGGGAUACUUCUUGGAUUAGUUGACAUUGCUGAAUCCAAAGAUGAUUAUUUAUUUCGUGUUUCACUCCCCUUGUGACACCAGGGAGUGAAACACGAAAUAAAUACUCAUCCUUGGAUUCAGCAAUGUCAACUGAUCCAUAAGUGGCCUGGCAUUUCCCAACGAAGCCGAUCCAAUAAGGACAACCCCGCCAUUAGCAUGAUUUAUAAGAUGGUUCUGGCUGGGCAAGCAGAGAAAUGGUGCAUUGCAGGCUAAUAGUUUUCUUGUGAAAGGUGGAAGGAAACAAAGAGGGUUGGGAAAAUGGCAUAUAUUUCAUGAGAUAAAUUGCCUCAGUUUGAUGAAUAUUUUAAGAGAUCUGGGAGCAGAGGGAAGGUGGGAAAAAGUUCUAUUUUUGUUUUGUAUAUGAGUAGAUUCAUAGUUGCACAAGAUUUGAAUAAAUUAAUUUUCUAUGUAAAUUUGAAGUAAUAUAUUUCGUUUAAAUAUAUUUUCAUAUUUAGAAAUUACAUAAAAGUUUUAUAAAUUGUUAUAAUUAAUAAUUCAAAAGUAUUCUAAAACAAUAAUGUGAAAAGACAUCAUCACUUGAUUCUCCAAAUAAUAUCUUGAUCAUAUAAAGUUAAAGAAAGGGAUAAUAGUUAUUAUACACUUGUAAUAGCUUUCGAAGUUUUAGUGUUAUUUGAUAGUUAUAGAAAUUAGUUUUACAAUGGCUAAUAAUGAUAAUUGUCGUAUCAUUAUCAUAGACCAGGCAGAAACUUUAUAAAUAUAAUACUAAAAACUUGAUGGGCUUAAACGAAAUGUUGCUCACCUUUUUAAAAUAGAUAUCAGACUAGACAAAAUAGCCAUCAAACAUUUUCCUAAAAUUUAGAAAUUGAAAAUACAUUAAUAUUUUGUUAUUAAUCCCACACCUUAUUUGAAUUGAAUAUACCUAAAAUUUAUUCCUUAGAAAAUACUAAAUGUUUUCCCAAUUUCGUUUGUAACAGUUUGAAUUGGUGGGAUCGUGUCAAACUUUAAUUAGUGUUCUAAAUAAACACACAACAUUACUUUACAUUUAACAUUUUAUCUCAUAAAGUUUUCUCAAGCUACGUCCAGUCGUAAAGCUGAUUGUCAUAGUUCCGUACAAUUAAUUGUCAAUGCAGAUGCCGUGUAAUAGAAAUGUGAGAUUACUGUAAUAAUGAUGAAGAUAUACUAAGUGUAAAUUCAUAAAUAGGGUCUAGAUUAAGUGAUCUUACCUCUAUCUUCUGAGAGGUAGAGAGACAGUUUCAAAAAGAUCCCGGGGAUAAUCGAGUGGAAAACAAAGAGACUAUUACAACAACAAACUUUGCUCCUAUGUCCCAAAAAAUAGAGAGGUUGUUUUUGAAAGACCCUCGAGUUCUGGUUGAAUGGAAAACAGAGAUUACAAGAACAACAAAAAACAACAACAACACGUCCAGUAUAAUUUCUUGGGUGGGAUUUGAAGAGACAAAAUGUAGAUAGAAUUUACUUCUAUUGCUCAAACAAUAGAGAGGUUAUUUUUCGAAGAUUCCUCGCGUACGUCGGUGUGUGGGGGGGGGGNNNNNNNNNNNGUUAACUUUUUGACUUGUAACUCAACUAUGUCUUUAUUCUAUCAAAUCCAUCAAACAAAUUUCCACAAUAAAAACUUAUUGAGCUUCAUUUUAAUGUCAUAAAAAGUUAUAAAAUUGAUUUCUUUUAAAAGUGAAAGAAAAAUUCACACACUAAAAUUUAAAGAACUGAAAAGGAGGCUCUAAUACAACGUAAAUUUUGCUGACUUAUCUCUCUAGUUGAGAGUUCUGUCAUUGAAUAGAAGGUCUUGUCCUUGUACAUCCCUAAAGACCGGCCAUGAGUACCCUAAUAUUUGUAUUCCCUAAUAUUUGUCAUUCUUAGAUCUUACAUUUUUAAGAAUUUCUCCUAUAUCUAAGUAUUGAAAGUUAUUUACACUAGUAUUUACAAAUAUUACAUAUUUAUAACUGAAAUCUCUCUAGAUUGCCGGACAAAUAUUAUCUGUCCAUUAACCUAACAUGUAUAAUAUUCAAUUUUCAAGUAUAAAAGAAAUUUAACCUUCAAUAAUUGAAUGGUGUAUGGGACUAUCCUUGAUACAUAAGCAAGGUAGUUCAGGGCAUUACCAAGAUCAGAGCACAAGAAAAAGUUCUUUUGCUCAUGCUAAGGGAAGGCAAUAUAUGGACAGAUUAUACGCCUAAGCUAACUUUUUAAUUUUGCACACGAUUAAAAAACUGUCAAAAACUUGAUCUAAAAAAACUGACUUCAAAAGAGGUGGAGAAAAAUCAAUCCCAUGUGGUUGGCGCUUAAACAAGUAUUAUAAGAUUUUUUAAACAAAAUCGACAUCUCAAGGUCAAAAACCCAAAAUAAAAAUUAAAUUAACCUCCUAAGAUCAAAUUCAUUUAAAAAAAAUUGCAACAGUCAAUCUCCGGAGAUUGAUUAUUUUUUUUAAUAUAAUUUUUUUUGCAAAUGACCUCAUGAGGUCAAUUUUUAAAUUUUUAAUUACUAUUUAUUUUUUUAUAAAAGUUAACUGCUGAUAGAAAUGUAUUCUACCAUAUUAAAGAUGGAAAUUUGAAUCACAAAUGGUGUAUCUUAUUAUUUUGCAAUUGAAAAUCAACCUCAUGAGAUCGACAUUGUUCAAAAUGAAAAAUAAAAAUCGACUUCCUGAAAUCAGUUUAUUUUUUUUAAAAAAAAAUUAUUUAGAUAAAAAUCUCACGAAGUUAAAAAAUACAGACUUCAUAUAACAAUAUCAUAUUAGCAAAGAUUGUCAAUAGUACAAAUUAGUUCUCAUUAAAGGCAAGUGAAAUACAUAUCUACAUAGCACAAAUUUAACUGUUCGAGAUGAAGCAACUUAGAAAUGUCAGUCUAGAUGCACAUGCGAGGGAUAUCUCAAAUUAAAUUUUAAAUCGCGAAGGAAGGAGAAAUUAAUACUACUCAACAAACAUUCUUGGCUAAAAUCUCUUACAAAAUCAGAGAAUAUGGAUGUUCCGUGAACAAGAUUACCUGGAAGUAGAGAAAGAUUUUCGAGUGCCCAAAUUAUCGAGAAUUUUCUGUCGGAGAGGAUCUAGAGUUCUCUAUUAAAAAAGAGUUCUUGAACCCGCAGUUUGACUCCCACAAACAGAUGAAUUUGAGAUUGACUGUGAAAUUGAGCGCUCUAGUAGUUAAAAUUUUCAAAUAUAAGAUUGACGGGUCAAACCGCAAAUUAUAAUAGGUCGUCACUUGAGACUUCUAUAAUAAUGCCAGUCUACAAGCCGCUUAAAAUGUAAAUAAAUCUUAAAUUGGAUUUUUUUUUUUAUUAUCUACUUUUAUACUGGAAAUUAAUUUGAUGAAAGAACUCGUUGCAUUACGGAAACUCCUUGAAAGAAUCCGAAUUGUAAGUUAACUAAUGUAAUGAUGGUGGAAAGUUUCAUAAUUAGUAAUAGCUAUGUUUAGUUCAAUCCAAUCUUCUUUUUAGAAUUAUACUAACUAUUGUACGUUGAGGAUUAAGACGCAUUCAUUCGAUCCUCUUAUAAAUACGUUGAAGAACCAUUUUCACUUUUUAACUUGAUUAAUGGUAAAGGGAUAGAUCAUUUAUUAAUAGUAUUAAUACAUUUUAAUAAAAUGUAAAGACCCAAGCUGAGGUCCUUACCACAGCGGGCAUCCCGACCCAUGAAGGCUCGGGAGACCCUUAACAUAUUAUCAUAAGCAUAAUUUACAACAAUGGAAAUGUGAAAGGUAAACUGAAACAUGAAAAUUUUUCAUAAUCAAAAUUAGUACAUCAAGACAUGAAUCUAUGAAAAUCCAAAUCUAGUGUAACAAAUUUAUGAAGCUUCUACUGAAACAGUAGUCUGUCUAAGCAGGGACAAAGCCUCCAAUCGGAGCAUGAAACUAAAAAUAAAUCAACAUGUAGAUAAAGCUCCUUACAAAGUAAGGGAGGCACACCAAUUCUGAAUGUAUAAAACAAAUCACUAUUAAGCUAGACUACGAGAUUGUAUCUCAGAACCUACAUUAUGAGACAAUGCAACUGUCAUGAGGACGGACAAUACUUGAAAUAUAUUGGCACAUAGAAAGGCCAAAAGAAAUAACUUUCAAAAUAUCAUAAUAGUCAAAACAUCAUAAAAAUCAUAACAUGGGGUCAUAUGACAUUAAAAUAGUCUGAAAACAUGUAAUUCAAUAAAAAACCGCUUUGUAAACAGCAUCAUGUUAGUCUUUAGUUCUGAGCUAGGCGGUAUACACGACAGGAUCAGAAAAAUCCCAAGGGUUAUGCAGAGUUUGACAUUAACUUGUCGUACAUUCCCCUAAUCCCAGUUUGAUGCCAGGAUUGGAUUGUCUGGCCUGGUAUAUAAUGGCAUAUAGCAAGUAUACAAUGAUCAUCCAUAUUUGAGGACAAGAUCAAUCCCGUAUUAGCAAAAAAUGGUUUUGAGCUAUUAGUUAUCUAAACGCGUGCCUUCUUGGUUAUCCACCUAAUUCUCUUUAAGCCCAUAUUUUAACCUCUUAAAAUAUGCGUACUUUCUUAAAACAUGAUCUAAUGUCUGAAAAAUUUGUAGUCUAGUCUGGUCUGAGUAUUUCAUGACAUUUGUCUAAUUUGAUAUCGUCAUACCAAGACUUUCAAGUUGUAUAAGCCACACCAUAUCGUGUCAUAUCAUAUCGUAGCCCUUUUUAUUCAAAAUCAUGUCAUUUGACCACUGCAAGGACUCAUAGGCCAAAAGAGAGUUCUCUUUUAAAACUGUUAUGAAAGCUUAAGUAAAAAUGUCUUUCUUUCAAAGCUUAACUCUUAAGGUGGUCAUAUCUUUCAUAAACACAUAGUAAAACUCUUCCAGUAAUCUUGGUGGUUUAGUUAAGCAUUCCCAUUCAUGAAAUUUGUUAAAGCUUUUAAGAGAAGGAUUACUCUUUUCAAUCAUAUUCAAUGCACAACCAUUGUAAAACAAAAACAACAUCAAAAGAAGGCUUUAACAAAAUGUUGUUCUCCUUUAGAAAAUAGAUUUCAGACUAGACAAAAUGGCCAUCAAACAUUUUCCUAAUUUUUAGAAAUUAAAAAUACAAAAUAUUUUCCCAAUUUUGAAUCAAACAUUGAAUAAACCUAAAAUUUAAUCCUUAUAAAAUACAAAAUAUUUUCCCAAUUUUGGUUGUAACAGUUUGAAUUGGUGGGAUCUUGUCAAACUUCAAUUAGCGUUCUAAAUAAACAGACAACAUUACUUUAGAUUUAGAAUUUUAUCUCAUAAAGUUUUCUCAUGUUACGUCCAGUUGUAAAGCUGCUUGUCAUAGUUCCGUACAAUUAAUUGUUAAUGCAAUUUAAUAGAAAAGAGAGAUUGCAGUAAUAAUGAAGAAGAUAUAGUCAGUGUAAAUUCAUAAAUAGGGUCUAGAUCAAGUGAUCUUACCUCUAUCUUCUGAGAGGUAGAGAGACGGUUUCGAAAAGAUCCUGGGGAUGAUCGCGUUGAAAAGAAAGAGACUACUACAACAACAAACUUUACUCCUAUGUCCCAAGAAAUAGAGAGGUUGUUUUUGAAAGACCCUCGAGUUGUGGUCGAAUUGAAAUGAGAGAUUACAACAACAAAAAACAACAACAAUAAAAACUAAAACGAUAUGUCUAGUAUAAUUUCUUGGGAGGGAUUCGAAGAGACAAAAUGUAGAUAGAAUUUAAUUCUAUCCCUCAAAAAAUUGAGAGGUUAUUUUGGUAGGUUCCUCGUGUACGUCAGGGGGGAAAAGAGAGAGAGACUAUAUGUUAACUUUUUGACUGGUAACUCAACUAUGUCUUUAUUCUAUCAAAACCAUCAAACUAAUUUCCAUAAUAAAACUUACUCAAUUUCUUUUAAAUGUCAUAAAAAGUUAUAAAAUUGAUUUCUUUUAUAUGUCAAAGAAAAAUUUAGACAUUAAAAGUUAAAGCAUUGAAAAGUCGGCGCUAAUACAAUGUUAAUUUUGUUGAUUUAUCUCUCAAGUUGAGAGUUCUGUCCUUAAAUAGAAUGACUUGUCCUCUUACAUCCCUAAAGACCUGCCAUUAUGUAGUGUAUGACUUGCUGGGACCAACGGUUCGGUUACCUUCGUUUGUUUUUUUAGAUCAAAUUCCCUAUCUAGAAGUCUUUACUGGUUUAAAUGGCCACUGAGUGAAAACUUCAACGAAACGAUCUCGGUUGUAAAUUCUGACUGCGCAGACAGUUCUUAAAUAUUGAUUUUAGUCUAAUUCGACCUUUGAUUCGAUUUCCAACACACGCGAGCUCAUUUCGACCUAAUAGUCGGAAAGUUGUAAAAUCGAAAUUAUAUGUGUGGGACCUACUUUUUGCAUAAACGACCUUGUAUGGAAAUUUCAAUGAUGCAAAUGAAUUUGAAUUGUUUUACACCCAAAUUUUACCAUUGGAUCAUAUAUUUUUUGUUCCGGAUGAGUUUUGAGGGUCAAAAACAAGUUUUUGACCUUGCUGUCAUAAGGUACCGCAUCUCUUCUCCGAGGUUGUCUAUAAAUAGACCCCACGGUCGCAAAUUUGUGUCUUGUGGGUGUUUAGGGAGUUUGGUAAACAUCUUUGAUCAUGAUUAUCAUCCUGAUUAAGGUAAGAUUUCAUUACUGUAUUGGUGAAUUUCUUAGUUCUUGAUUCAAAAUCUCAAUUUUUAGCUUAGGUCUUGAUUUAACCCUAAAUUUGAUUUGUUUUCACCCAUUAAUUGAGGGUUAUGAUUCCUUGGUUAUGUAUGAGCAUUGGGUUAACAUCAAAAAUGUGAUUUUCGUACGGGGGACCCACUUGGGAUUUUUGGUGUUGUUUUUGGAUCCGAAGCACAAUAGUUCAAUAUGGGUAUCAUUAAACUCUUAUUGAUCAUUAGAUUAUAUUUUUUGAUAGUGUGAUGACAUUUUGGGGUUUGUGAAGUGAAGACGAGCAUGUGGUGCUUGAAGUGUGAUUUUGCUGUCAAGGCCUUGUCCACUUUCCUUUAUAGAUGAUGUAUGACAUGUAUUACAUGUGGAUAUGAAUAUUAGGAUUGAUUAUGAGUAACAUAGCUUACCCUUGAUUAUUGAUGUUUUUUGAAAUUAGAUGAUGAUUUUGGACCCGUAAGAUUGUAUGUUUAUAACCUGCUGGAGUCCUAUUGCCUUCUCCCUAGUUUAGAUAGCAUUAUAGCAUGGAUUUGAUAUAUUUCUAGAUUAUGUAUGUGGUUUUAGUAUUGGAAGCAUGAUUAUUUUAUUGAUCUUAUUGGUCCAGUGUGACAUUCUUGAAACCAUAAUUUGGAUAGAACUGACUUAAGUGCCCUUUUUUCUAGUUGAAGUUCCUAUCUUAGGCUUGUAUGUGGCUUACUUGAUAUCUAGAAGUUGAACUAGAUAUCUUAUCCUCAUUUGGGGCAUAGUGUACCUAAUUAAAGAAAUUAAGGUUUAGAAGUUGGAUUGUCCGGCCCACUUAGGCCUAGACUUUUGUUAGUCAUUGUGUAAUUAGUUGCAAAUGUUAAACAUAGUUGAGACUAGUAAACCUUAGUAUAAUAUUACUUUGCGAUUAGGUAUAUUGUAAUGAUGUUUCUAGGAUUGUGACUUAUGAGUUAUAGCUAUGUUGUUUGUUAUAGAAAUGAUGUGAUAAAAUGGACCCAUAAAGAUAUUAUUUCCUCCAACACUUGUUACUUGGACCAUAGAUAUGCCAUUUCCUCUUAGACUUGAUAGUUGAACCAUAUAGAUGUUGUUUCCUCUUGGACAUGAAGUUGGGUCCUUAGAGAUAAUUUUCCUCUUAGAUCUGAUGUUGGGCCUAUAGAGAUGCUACUUCUAUUUAGAUAUUAUAGUUGGCCUAGAGAGGUGAUAUUCCUCACUAUCAUGAUGAAUGACCUUUAUAUAUUAAAUGACUUAUAGUUACAUCAUGCUUAUUGAUAUUAUGCCUCCUAUGUGAGAGAUGAUUAUAUGCUUAUUGAUAUUAUACCUCAUAUAUUCGCGAUGCCCCAUAGAUGUGAGAUGAUUAGAUAUAUGCUAUGACAUGUAACUAUGAUUAUACAGAUGUGUUCCAGAUAUGUAUAUGGGCCGAAGGACAUGAUGAUGAUAUUUUGAUUAUUUUGGAUAUAUUAUUGGGCCGAGGGUCUAUAGCUGAUAUUGAUUGGACAUACGGGAAGUGUUUAUCCUUGUUGAGGAUGCGGCUCCAGUUCAUGAAUAUAUGUAUAUAUAUAUGUGUAUACACAUCUCUCUAGUAUGGGAUGAAGAAUGGUGUGGUAUGAUUCUUAUGAUUUCACUGAUUGAAUACUGGUGAUGGAAUGCAUGAUUAGAUACAUUCAUGAUUAUUAUAUCGAUUAUUGAUGUGACUCUAGCUGAAUGUGAUCUUAUGACUGUUCUUCCCAAUUAUGGUAUAAGCUACGUGGUAACUAGUUGUCUAUUAGGUGACGAUAGUACUUAAUGCUUAGAAUUCUAAAUACGUUAGUUAAUGAGCCUUACUUAGUAAUAUAGCAACUAACGACUAGAGUUGAUACAUGGCUAUGAAAUUGGGUUUAUCAAUGGUAGUGAUAUUUGGUUAUUGAUAACAAGUUGUAAUGUCGAUUAGUUGUUAAAUUAGGAUAAUGUGGUCAACAUUGAUAGGUCUUAAGGAAUGCUAGUGAUAAUGAUUCCUAGUUAAUAUUAAUGCCUCAUUACUGAUGCUAACUAGCUAAUAAUGAGGCCUAUGGUGAACAGUAUUAGAUAUUGAUUUGUGUUUGUUAAUAAAAGAUGCUUAGUUGAUAAAUGAUGAAUAGUGAAUAGAUGGAAAUUAUGGAUUAAUGGUGAACUUUGACUAGACAUUAGGCUUGGCUAGUUAUUGAUUAAUGGUUAGUUGCUAUUCCAUGAUUAAUGAUUAUGUGAAGAAUCGGCUAGAUUGAUAACUAAAGAUAAUUUUAUGACUAGUAUACUAACGGUAUAAUAAUGAGACCUGAGCAAUUAAUAAUGAGUAGAUAGAAUAUAAUGAUAAGGUAUUUAUCUUUACGAUAUUAUGAUUAUGGUUAUGAGUAUAUCGAUUUGCGUCUGUACACCUAUUGUAUGCCUAUAUGUAUAUGUUGAUAGUUACGUUGAUAUAUUGAUACUUGGCUAGGCUGGAGGAUAUUGUGAUGACAUAUUGAUACCCGACAAGAUUGGAGGAUAUUAUGAUGAUAUUGAUACCCAGUUCAAGUUCGGAGAAUACUAUUGAGAUGAUAUUAAUACACGGCAAGACCGGAGGAUAUUAUGAUGAUAUUGAUAUCCGGUUUGAGUACGGAGAAUACUAUUGAGAUGAUAUUAAUACCCGACAAGGUCGGAGGAUAUUAUGGUGAUAUUGAUACCCAGUUCGAGAUUGGAGAAUAAUAUUGAGAUGAUAUUGAUACCCAAUUCGAGACUGGAGAAUAAUAUUGAGAUGAUAUUGAUGCCCGACAAGGCCAGAGAAUAUUAUGAUGGUAUUGAUAUGAGGUUCGAGUUUGAAGAAUACUAUUGAGAUCAUAUUGAUACCCAACAAGGUCGUAGGAUAUUGUGAUGAUAUUAAUACUCGAUUCAUGUUCGGAGGAUACUAUUAAGAUGAUAUUGAUUUCCGGCAAGGCCGCAGGUUGAUUACGAUGAUGAUGGUCCUGAUGAGGACAGUUAUUAUGAGUUGUGAUAUUGUUGGUAUACUUUGCAUUCAUUCCUGCAUGCGCGUCGCCUAUCACCAGUAUGCACCUAUAUUUAUUAGCCUGUAUGGGAUGGUUGCAUAGAUACAGGUGAAGGAUAUGUCUUGUAUUGUUGUAUCUUGAUUGAACCUUCCGAGCCUGGGGUGGUGGGGGUACACAUAGGCUCGUCUAGGUAUUUGUUUUUCUGGAGUAUUCGAUUCUUAAUGCCGUUAUUGAUAUUGUUAUUAUCAUUGUUAUGAUCAUUAUUAUGGCUAGCUAUGACAGAUUGGUCAUUGAUCCGGUAUCGGAAUUUGAGGUAUGUUUUUCGCCUCUCCUAUCUUAUCAUUGUGUUAUUAUGCAUAAGUAUUUCAUGUCUAGCCAUGUGGAUUAGAAUCCCCGAGUAUGAUAGUAUUUAACUCAUGAUAGUAUUUUAAUGAGGUCUUAAAAUGAGAACAUGAUGAUCUAGGUUAUGUUUGAAAAAAUCUUCUGUUAAUAUUUUUAUAUAUAUAUAUAUAUAUAAACAACGAAGAAAGGGAUAUAUGAAGCCAUGGUACUAUCAGAUAUCCCUUCCUUCGUUGUUUAUAUUGUAUAGUCGUUCGUUCGCCUUGUAUAUUACAAAAAAGUAAUAUAUCUUUCUUUCAUUCUUUAUUUUUAUAUUGACCAGGGAUAUACAGUAUAGUAUUGAAACAUAUUGAAUGUAGCUGGAAUAGGAUAGUUCACCUUGAUACUUCCUUAGUCUUAUGAAGUUAGACUCUUGGACAUGAAUAGGAUAGUUGUCCCUUGUUAUUCUCAUUGACUUAUUACAUGAUUUACGGACUCUUGGUUGUAGUUUCAAUUUUAUUUAUAUGUUGUAUAUAUCUACUUUAUCUUUGGAGCUAUGUUGGCAGUUGCCUACUAAGUACCAUUCAUUUGGUACUCAUACUACACCUCUGCAGCCUGCAGAUCAUAAUACGGGUUAUCGCUAUUGAUAUGUGCAUCAUGCAGAGUAGCCCUAAUUCAGAGACAUAGAGUGAGCUCCUGACGUUCUGAGUAUUACUUAUCUCUCUCCUAUGUAUUAGAUUAGCCUCUAAGUUGUAUUCAGAGAUAUGUUGAAUCAUGUAUUUUUCCUUGAUAUAUCACUUUUGAUCUCUUAUUAUGUUUAGAAGCUCUUGUACUGAUACCAUUAGGUUUCAGGAUUCUUUUGCGUAUUGAUCUUUAUUUCAUAUAUUCUACAUUCUUUUUCUUAUAUUAUUGAGUAAUCUGUUACUAGCUGUUCCGGACAACUGGUUGGUUUGCCUACUUGUGGGUUAUGGUAGGUGCCAUAAUGAUCUGAUAAAUCAAGUCGUGACACAUGAAUACCCUAACCUGCCAUGAAUACCCAGAUAUCUCUAUCCCCUAAUAUUUGUCAUUCUUAGCUCUUACAUUUUUAAGAAUUUCUCAUAUAUCUAAGUAUUAAAAGUUAUUUACACUAGUAUUCACAAAGAUUACAUAUUCAUAACUGAAAUCUGUCCAGAUAGCUCGAAAAAUAUUAUUUGUCCAUUAAGCUAACAUGUACAAUAUUCAAUUUUCAAGUAUAAAAGAAAUUUGACCUUCAAUAAUUGAAUGGUGUAUGGGACUAUCCUUGAUGCAUAAGCAAGGUAGUUCAGGAUAUUACCAAGAUCAGAGCAGAAGAAAAAGUAAUUUUGACUCAUGCUAAGGGAAGGCAAUAUAUUCACAGAUUAUACCACUAAGCUAACAUUUUAAUUUUGCACACGAUUAAAAAACUGUCAAAAAAUUGAUCUAAGAAAACUGAUUUCAAAAGAGGUGGAGAAAAAUCAAUACCAUGAGGUUGACGCUUAAACAAAUAUCUUAUAAUUUUAUAAACAAAAUCGACAUCUCAAGAUCAAUUUUUAAAGCGUGAAAAACCCGAAAAAAAAGAAGAGAAAACUAACCUCCUAAGAUCAAAUUUAUUUAAAAAAAAAUUGCAACAGUCAACCAAGGAGAUUGAUUCUUUUUAAUAUAAUUUUUUUUUUUUGCACAUGCCCUCCGGAGGUUAAUUUUUAAAUUUUUAAUUACUAUUUUUUUUUUUGAUAAAAUUUAACAGGCGAUAGAAAUGUGUUCUACCAUAAUAAAGAUGGAAAUUUGAAUCACAAAUGGUGCAUCCUAGGAAAUUUGAAUCACAAAUGGUGCAUCCUAUUAUUUUGCACCUGAAAAUCGAUCUCAUGAGAUCGAUAUUGUUCAAAAUGAGAAAUAAAAAUUGACUUCCUGAAAUCAGUUAACUAAAGUAAUGAUGGAGGAAAGUUACAUAAGUAGUAAUAGCUAUGUUUAUUUCAAUCCAAUCUUCUUUUUAGAAUUAUACUAAUUGUUGUACGUUGUGGAUUAAGACUCGUUCAUUCGAUCUGCUUAUAAAUACAUUGAAGAAUCAUUUUCACUUUUUGACUUGAUUAGUGGUAAAGUGGUAGAUCAUUUAUUAAUAAUAUUAAUACUAGUUUUAACACAAUGUAACGACCCAAGCUGAGGCCCUGACCACCACGGGCAUCCCGAACAAUGAAGGCUUGGAGACCCUUAGCAUAUUAUCAUUAGCAUAAUUCAUAUCAAUGGAAAUGUCGAAGGUAAACUUAAACAUGAAUCGUUUGCAUAAUCAAAAUUAGUAUAUCAAGACAUGAACCUAUGAAAAUCCAGAUCUAGUCUAACCAGUUUAUGAAGCUUCUAUUGAAACAAUAGUCUUUCUAAACAGGGACAAAGCCCCCAAUAGGAUCACGAAACUAAAAAGAAAUAAACAUACGGAUAAAGCACCUCCACCAACUCUGAAUGCUUAAAGGAAAUCUACUAUGGGACUUUGUCUCAGAACAUACAUUAUGAGACAAUACAGCAGCCGCGAGGACGAUCAAUACUGGAAAUGUUUUGGCACAUAGAAAGGCCAAAAGAAAUAACUUUCAAAAUAUCAUAAUAGUCAAAACAUCAUAAUAAUCAUAACAUGGGGUCAUAUGACAUCAAAAUAGUUUGAAAACAUGUAAUUAAAUAAAAAAAAUCUUUGUAAACAACAUCAUGUUAUUCUUUUGUUCUGAGCUAGGCCGCAUACCCAACAUGAUCUAAAAAAUCCCAAGGGUUAUGCAAAGUUUGACAUUAACUUGUUGUCCAUUCCCCUAAUCCGAGUUUUCCGUGAGGAUUGGAUUGUUUGGUAUCGUAUACAACUGCAUAUAGCAAGUAUACAAUGAUCAUCCAUAUUUCAGGACAAGAUCAAUCUCGUAUUAGCAAAAAAUCAUUUUGAGCUAUGAGUUAUCUAAAGUCGUGUCUUCUUGGUUAUCCACCUAAUUCUCUUUAAGCCCAUAUUUUAACCUCUUCAAAUAUGCAUACUUUCUUAAAACAUGGUCUAAAUUCUGAAAAGUUUGUAGUCUAGUCUGGUCUGAAUUUGUCAUGACAUUUGUUUUAUUUGAUAUCGUCAUACCAAGACUUUCGAGCCGUAUAAGCCAUAUCAUAUCGUGUCAUAUCAUUUCAUAGCCCUUUUUAUUCAAAAUCAUGUCAUUUGACCACUGCAAGGACUCAAAGGUCAUAAGCGAGUUCUCUUUUAAAACUGUUACGAAAGCUUAUGUAAAAAUGUCUUUCUUUCAAAGCUUAACUUUUAAGGUGGUCAUCUCUUUCAUAAACAUAUCAUCAAACUCUUCAAGUGAUCAUGGUUGUUUAGUUAAGCAUUCUCGUUCAUGAAAUUUGUUAAAGCUUUUAAGAGAGGGAUUACUCUUUUCAAUCAUAUUCAAUAAACCACCAUUGAAAAACAAGAAUAACAUCAAAACAAAUGAUAAUUAUAAAAACCUUCCUCAAGCAAAAUUCAGAAAGAAAAUCAUUCACAGCCUUAUCAUUUUCACAAAUCACAAUUCAAUAUGCGCACAUACAUAUGUAUGAACCCAUUAGAAUGCACAAUUGAGUAUGGAUGCAAAUCUUGAAAUUCAUGCUCUCGUUGUGAAUGAAAAUCUAAAUUCUGCAACACUGAAAAGAGCUAAAAAAAAAUUAUGAAUUCUAACCACAUAAGAUUUAGGUCGUUGUAUGUACCUCUAAUGGAGAGAAAUUAAAUCAAAGUUUACGCUUGGAUCUUGGAAUCCUCAAACCAUAGGAAGUUUUCUCCUCUCUUUCUCUUAGAAUGAUGAUCAGGUAUUCACUAAAGGGUGAAAGCAUUUUUAAGGAUCUAAAAUUUUAUAUAUGUGAUUUGGAAUGACUUAGAAGUGUGAAAAGACCAGCGUGCCAUUAAAAUAUUACAAAAACAAAUUAAUUUUGACAUACUGAACAGGGUCGCGCCAUCACAAACUUCAGGAUUCAUGGGGCAAACCUCAUCACGAACAUCAGGUUUCAUGGGGAGAACUCUAUCACAAACGUCACGGUUCGUUGGGCAAACCCUUAAGCAAACUUGAAGCUGUAGCUCUAUAACACCCCAAAAUAUGAUCCCCGAGAUGUCACACGGUGCUAGAUAUAGAUGGUGAUGCUCGAACUACUCACGCUGCUGAUGGUGAGCACCUGAACCUACAUUAUGAGACAAUACAACACAUAGACGUAUAGGUGGAUCAUUACAUUGAGGAUGUACUGAGUAUAUGAGGGUGAUAUGAAUAAGUAAAACAUCAUAUUAUAAUCAUAAUUUAUAAAACAAUCCAUGCUAAAUGUAAAUGACUCACGAAUAUCUGAAAUAUUGAAAUAUGUAAUCAUGGAUAGCAAAUCAUACUUUAUAAAUUUAGUGAGCCAUAACAUUUAGUUCUAAAAACUAUACUUAUAUUUUCUCUUUAAAUCAUAGUGUCGAAGUGUAGAAAGGACUCACUCUUAAGUCAGAAAACUGUAAGAUGAAAUUUCUAACUAUAAUCUUUCGGUAAAGUAUAAUCUGAAAUAAAGUUGUGAGCCUUUACAUUUAGUUUCUAAAAGCUUUUCUAUAAAUCUUUUCUGUAAGAGAAAAUACUUUAUCUUUUAUUUGAAAGCUUAUAUGUAAGGGAGGUUCUUUUAACCGACAUAAACCAUGCGAGCUACAUGGAGUCCAACGUCGCAUCCUCCUAAGGAAGAAACCUCACAUUGGGGAGAGGUGUCAUACUCUUGCCAGGGAGUAUAACCUCAUCUAUGUGAUUACAUAUCUGCCCACUAUGGGCUCUUAAUCUCAAAUCUAUGGUGGCACGUAGUUUUGGGGUAUGAGACCUUGGAAUAAUACCCAACUCUGUGCUACAUACUACUCCCUUUAAUUUGAUACACUCAUCUAAUGGAAAUUCAUCGUGUCAGAGCUCAUAACUCAGAUUAGGUGGUAUCCCUUCUAUCUAUAUGAUAUGUUUCCUUGCCUGGUGCACUAAAUUUUUCUAUAAAAUACAAGUUUCUAUAUAAGAUUGUUGCUUCAUCAAACUUCUAUAUGCAACUAGCAUAGCGUGAAUCUCAUCUAGCCUAUAAUCGAAUCGAACUCAGUUCUCUUAAUAAGAUAUUUUUGGUUAGCCUCUCAAAGAGCUUCGUCUAUUACUUAUAUAUAUAUCACAUGAAGCCUCCCUACUUUAUUCCGGAUACCCGCGGAUUUCUCAAUACAAAUACCAAGAUAGACGCGAGAAAGCUAGUCGUCCUCAUCUUUCUUUUACGCUUUCUUCUCUUAUGAGAUUUAGAGGUUCUGGCAGCGGUGUGAAACUAUAUGAGAAUGAGGACUGAAUGAAAUGCCAUAACUUCAGUUCUAACUCCUUCCUCUCCUUCAGUAGUGAACUCAGGAAAAGACCUAUCAAUCUAUUUGAUUUCCCAUCAAGCCAAGCAAGGUUCACUCACUGAACGUUGUACUUCCUAUAUCUAUGAUAGUAGAGUUAGCCUGUCUUUGCCGACAGGUGAUUUGGCAAGCGAUGAGGCCCAUCUUAAAGGGGUGGGUCACUCUCCUUUCUUUAAAGGUGUCCCUGCUUCACUCUAAGGAUGACAUAUGAUUAACUAGCACAGGAGAGAGAGUUAGACUUGACUUUGUCAUUUCCUCGCUUAAUCUCAUAUUAGUCAGUCUACUUGCCCAAAGCUACUACCUCAGAAAAAGUGAACCGAGGGAAAGCUAUCAUAACAGACUAGUUCUCUUAUUCACUGGGGGAGUCUAGGGAAUUUAGAAUAUGUAUUCAGAAGAGGUUGAAUGGCCGAAAUAAGAGGUCGAUAGCCUUCUUUCUAUUUGAAUUUGAACCCAAAGUAUGAUUCGAACCUACCUUUAUUCAUAUAAACUAAUUGCUCUACCAACUAGCCUUCUGGGUGGGCUUAAGACACUGAUAUGCUAGAUCUAUAUACAACCUUCUUGUAUCAUGGGUUUGAAUCCCAUACAAGCUAUAUAACCAUGUAGCGUUGGGCUUAACCGAGACUAGAUUGGAAGAAAUAUGGAGGUCUACGUUGAUGGCAUGCUUAUUAGAAUCAGAGAGGUUCUGGACAUAGUGGCAAACCUAAAAGAGACCUUGGACACCCUCAGGAAAAGGGGCAGACUGAAGUCAUUAAUAAGACUAUCCUACAAGGUCUCAAGACCAAACUUGUGAAAGUUAAAGGGUGCUUUGACCGGGGAUUCACACUCUCAAUAAUACCCAUACUACCACAGGAAAAACCGCUAUAGAAGCUAACCUAUUGUAAUAUCUUAAACCAAUUUUGAAAGGGAGGGAGAGUUUUUUUAUAUCAAGGCGCUCGAAAGCUAAAAGCUUUUCAUCAGAAGACAGAAAGGAAGUACCUAUUUUCUACUAUCUCAGUAGGUGAAGAGGUAUUAAAUACCAAUUUUAGCAGAAAGGAAGGCAUUUACAGUGGAGAGGACAGCAUAAAAGUAUAAAAGUUCUGACUUAGAUCAAAGAAGGUGUUAUGGGUCGGCCUUGGGAAGUCGAGAAAAACUUUCUUUACCAUUAAGAUUGAACUGCUCUAGGGCUUAUUCCAUCUUCAAUUCAUAGCAUGAAAGUGAAAGUCUCAAUCCCAGUUCCGUAUUAAGAAAGUAGACGGACAGAACUACUAGAGCUUGUUAGGAGCCCUUAGGAUUGGUCCUCAUCUAGUCGAGGAAAAAUCCCUCUAAAGCUUUUAUAGGGGACAUCUUUUCUAAUAUGCCUUCCCUGGACAAGGAUUUUAUUUAUGAUUUUCUUUACCUUGCCUCCUUUUCCCCAUAAGCCUUAUCUGCACGUGAAUAAGAGUAAUCAUUUACCGAAUCUACAUCAGCCGAAGCCUUUGCUUUCUCUCUUCCCUCUUUCUUUGCUAACCUCUAUUCCAUUGAAUGCUAUUAAGUCUGGAAUUGAGCCAAACUAUUUUUGUUAUAGCUUUCUUCCAAUAGAAGAUUCAUUCGCAAGAACCGAUGUCGUACAUCUUCAGUGUAAUGAUCCAUAAUCUAACUAACUAUUUUAAUUAACUUAACUGUAUUCUUUUCUUUCAAAUCAAGCUCCAUAUUCUACUUUUAUUUUUUCAGUCCUUCUAAAAGAAAGAUAGCAAGAGGCUAAGUUAUUCACUUGCGCCUGGGCUUUGUUUUUUGAGUAAAGGUUCUAUGGUGAAGAUCCUGGUCAAGGAUACCCUAUUAAAGAGAACAUUCGGGGACCUAUGGUUAUCUCUUCCUUAGUUUCCAAAUCUAAUGGAGGUUUAAAUUCAAUGGAUCCACCGUAAUUUGUAUGUCAAAUGAGGCCUCGAUGGAGAGAUAGAUGGGAACUCCUACUCUGACUAGAGUUUUGAUUUCUAAGAGGGAUUUUCAGUCAUCUAUCCCUUUUGUUUCCCUAGCGAGUGAAGAAGGAGUGGAUGUUUUGAAUGAGUGUUGAGCGAGUGAAGUGCCCUAUAAAGAAGGGCGAGUUGUAUGUAUAAAUUCGAUGAGCAAUGAUUUCACAUCAGGUUCCAAGUGCAUCCAGCAGGAACUGAACCUACGAAUUCGCCAUAUCAAACUCGAUAAACUUGAAUCUUGAGAUAGAGAAAUACAAUUAAUGGAUGGAUUCCUUCAUUAAUCAUAAUGAAACCAUCCAGCAACUGGUAGUAACAAAACCACCUUGUUGUGGAGAUGGCCGACGAUUGGGCCUCAAAAUAUUUUAUUUGGAAGGAAUGCUUUCACAAGCGGUAGAAAGAGACGAUGUUCGAUAUUUACCUAUAUAGAUAACCAGUCAACCUCGAUACACUUAACAUAACAGAGUCCUUUUUUAUGCUUGUUUUUUUUGCAUACAGACUAGAUGAAACGAAACUAAAAUCCCCAUAGAUGCUUGAACAAAAAGAUAACCUAAGGCCAUAGCUGACGUUCUUGUUAUUGGACACGUGAGAUAUCCCAGCAUUAGAGCAUUGAUUUUUCCUUUCUUUCUUCUGUGCGAAGGCGAAACAAUAAGAAAAAAAACGUUCAUUUCAAAACUAUCAGGUGAGAAGAACAGAGAAAAGAAAGAGUUUUCAUGAAAGCUACGGGAAAGUCAAAUAAUUUCUUUUUUAUCAAUGAGAUAAAUAUGAAAAAGGAAUAAUUCUAUCUAAAGAGAUGAGAUCCUUGCUCCUGACUAAUGGAAGCAAGGGGCCGAGUUAUUCUCUAAAACUAUAAUAUAAAACAAGUAAACCUGGAAUCUUCAAAGAGAACUUUAAAGAAAUGUCAUAUAGGGAAAGUCCAGCUUCAAAUCCGACUUCUAACUCCCUCAUCUUAGAGUUCUCGUUAGAGCAAAAGUAAGGCACUAAGCGAAGAGCUCAAGGCCAGUAAAAUCAGUCUAAGAGGCUAAGGAAGAGUUGGGGUAAUGUUUUGUGUGCCAAUUGAACUCACACUUAGAGAAUUUGGCAUACACCACAUGAUCCUUAACGGUCUAAAGCACGAUUCGUAGGUGAUUAGUAUGAUCUUCCUCACUCUGAGAGUAAACUAAAAUAUCUAUGACGAAAUCAAUAACAAAUAGAUCCAAAAACUGAUGGAACACCCUAUUCUGAGGUCCAUAAAUGUACAAAGGCAUUAGUCAGACUGAAGGAGAAAUGACCAUUAAUUCAUAGUGACUUUAUCGGGUUUGAAAAUUUUUUUUGGGAAUGUUAGCCUCCAUUACCUUAAACUAAUGAUAACCCAAAUAGAGGUCUAUCAUAGAGAAAUAUGUAGCACCCUAAAGCUGGCCAAAAAGAUCAUCAAAUUCUGGGAAGAUGGUACUUAUUAUUGACAAUGGCUUUAUUAAAUAGACAGUAAUCUAUACACAUACAGAGGGAGCAACAUUUCUUACGCAUGAAGAGAAUAGGAGCACCCUAGGGCGAGACAUGAGGAUGAAUGAAGACCUUAUCAAGAAGAUAUUUUAACUGCUCAUGCAAUUCUUUCAAUUUCAUAGGGGUCAUUUUAUAUAAUGGAAUAGAAAUAGGCUGAGUGUUUGGCAACAAGUCAAUACCAAAAUCUAUUCCCUAUCUGGGGUAUCCCAAGGAGGACUUCAAGGAAUUUAAUAACUACUGAGACCGACUGGGGAGAAUGACUUUCAUUGCUAGAAUCAUUAACCUGAAUGGGGAAGGGGUUUGGAAGAAAGGGGAAGCUCAGUCCUUGAUAUGUUGCCCCAUAUUUGGUUUUGAGGAGGGUCGGUAACAUUGUGUAUGAGUUGGAAUUUCCCUCUAGUGUGGGUUCUAUACACCCGGUGUUCCAUGUGUCGAUAUUAAGGAAGUUCGUGGGUGAUCAUUCAUUGGUUAUUACCAUAUAGAGCAUUGGUAUUUCAAACUCCUUGUCUUAUGAGGAAGACCCGGUGAUGAUCUUGGAUCGAUAAAUUCAUCAGUUAUGAAAGAAAGACGUGGCUUCAAUAAAGGGUCUCUGGCAGAACAAAAAGUUCAAGAAAAGUACUUGGAAAAAUGAGGAGGACAUGAAGUCCAAGUGUUCGUUCCUAUUACCUAUUUUAGAAAAUUGUGCUUAAGAUAUAUGUGUUUUUAACAUCUUUGUUUUCUGGCUUUGUUAAAGGAAAACUUGCAGUUUUGUUGACUUUUUUGUUUUUAGACAUUUUAAAAGGGAAGUGUGAUUGUAUUUCUAAAUUAAAUCAUGCUAAUGAAUGCCUUGUCCCAUCAUUCGAGGACGAAUGAUCCUAAGGGGGAAGACUAAAACACCCCAAAAUUUUAGCCCUUGAAAAUUCCAAGUUUUUGACCUCACUGCCCAGACUACGACUCCUAUUAUGAUUUUUAGGGUUUCUUUACGGGUCUUAAGGACCCAAUCAUUACCAAAGUAGUGGGUGUGUCUAGGUCUUCUUUUCUGAGAAUGAAUGGCUCCCAACGAGUCGUAUGGACUCAUUAUGAGUCAUUAUGUGUCCUCCGUAGUGUGACCAAUGUGAUGCCCAAUUGUUAUUAUUCUGACUACGACUGGUGGUCAUGAGUUGUAAAGACUCAAUACGAGUCAAUUGGUCCCAAUCAUAGCCAAGUUAGUGUGUGCCUCAUGUGUUUCUUUCCUAACUAUGACUUGGACCCUAUGAAUCGCAUGGUUCCGUAACGAGUCAUAUGAUGUAAUUCGUAGAGUCACCCGUAGGUAGGCCAUAUGACACUGUCUCGAUUAUGACUCGUAGUGACGAUUCAUAAUGAUUUGUAGUCCUAGGCGACCAAAUUUUAAGUCAUAUCAUUAAGGGCAUUCUGGGUGGUACUCCUCCUUCCCUACUUAGUACCCAAGACCAUAAAGUACUAAAGGGGUUUAUUUCUCAUUUACAACUCAGCCAAAACAUUCUCAAAUCACUAAAUAUUCUCUCAAGAAACUUAGGAUUUCCAAGAGGUUGGUCAUCUAAGGGAUCCCUUACGCUUAAUGUCUUUAUUUAAUUAAAAUACAUGUUUGUUUAUGUGAUUGAAAUUAAGGGUUUUGACGUGGUUGAUGGAUUUUGACAUGAUUGGUCUCUAAUUUGAUUUCCCAUGGUUAUUUAUGCACUAUUCAUUCUUGUUGAUGGUUUUGAAACUUGUAGGGUGCAUGGGUUUGAUAAAUAAAAGGGUCAUGUUUUCCCCAAGUUUAAUGGUUUUGCCUUGACUUGUGGCUUUAGAAAUUGUGUGUUCUCUACCAAAUUGUGAAAUUGAUCAUGAUAAUGGCCUUGUCACAUGAUUUGACUUGUCUACUUGAAUGAAUGAAUUGGUAUAAAAGGUUAAUGAAGUAUAAAUGGCUCAAUAAAGGCCUUGGUUGCCAUGAAUUUAUUUGAAUUGGAGCCUUGGGGAUUGGUUGGAUAAAUGGGUUUGAGUCCCAAAUGUUUGACUAAUUUGAUGUCGCUUUUGGACAAUGGGUUCAAAUCGUAGUUGAUGAAAUAAUUGUCAUGGAAUGUUAUAAACUUUCAAGUGGGUUGGUAUGAAUAUACCAACGUGAUACCUUAAUACUUAAUUGGGUUAAUAAUCGGGAAUGUGUAUUAAAUGUUUUAAAUUGGCCUUUAAAGAUGGUUGUAUUGCCAGGUCGUGAAGGAAAUAAUUUUAAGUUGGUACGUUACAUAGAUAAAACUUUUGUUGGUACACAUACACAUUUUUGCAUGAUCAAUUGAUGACAUAAAAAAUUCAUUAUUUGAUGAAGUUAAGGGAGUCGAGAAAAAAUUGCAAGAACUUCCGAUAUGGCAUGGUUCAAAGCUUCGUCUGGGUUCUUCCGCGAAAAGUUCAGGAUAACUUCCAAAAAAUCACUUUAAGAGGGAGUGUGAAAAUACCAAUGUAGAUUUUUGGAAUCAUAGAUUUCUACUAAAGUUUCUAGAACAGUCUAAUGUAGUAUUUAGGAUAAUCAACUUGAAGAAAUAUCUAGCUAUUCUAGAGCAAUGGUUGAAGAUAAAUAUCACUAGGUUUUUAUCUUAUAGAACUUUCUAGAUAGUCGAGAGUAAUUGAAGAUAAGGAUAACUAGAUUUUCUUAUAGAAGUAUCUAGAAAGAUAGCUAGAAUCUUCCAUAGGCAAGUAUAAAUAGGAGUCACAUUAUACAUUUGUAACCUUCCAAAAAACCAACCCAAAACAAUCCAAUUUAAGUAGUCUUCUUCUAUACUCAAGUUUCCUUUGAAUAUCUUCCUUCACCUUCAAAGAUUCCUCUUCUUAGUUGAAUCUUUCAAUCUUAGUUAACGAUCUUGGGUUAGAAGAACGUCUACCCAAUUACCCCUUUUUUCUGCAAUUCUCUAUAGGUUGCCUUUACUAGAUCUACUUUGUUGGGAAAGGCUGGGAUACUUCUUGGGUAAGUUGACAUAUUGCUUAAUCCAAAGAUGAUUAUUUAUUUCAUGUUUUACUCCCCUUGUGACACCAGGGAGCGAAACACGAAAUAAAUACUCAUCCUUGGAUUCAGCAAUGUCAACUGAUCCACAAGUGGCUUGACCUUUCCCAACGAAGCCGAUCCAAUAAGGACAACCCCUCCAUAAGCAUGAUUUAUAAGAUUUUUCCACUCCUUUCUGGCUGGACAAGCAGAGAAAUGAACCAUUGCAGUUCUUGUAAAAGGUGGAAGGAAACAAAAAGGGUUGGGAAAAUGGGAGAUAUUUUUUGAGAUAAAUUACCUCAGUUUGAUGAAUAUUUUAAGAGAUCUGGGAGCGAAAGGAGGGUGGUAAAAAGUUCUAUUUUAGUUUAAUAUGUGAGUAGAUUCAUAGUUGUACAAGAUUUGAAUAAAUUAAUUUUCUAUGUAAAUUUGAAGUAAUAUAUUUCGUUUAAAUAAAUUUUAAUAUUUAGAACUUACAUAAAGUAUUAUAAAUUGUUAUAAUUAAUAAUUCAAAAGUAUUUUAAAACAAUAAUGAGAAAAGAAACCAUCAUUUGAUUCUCCUAAUAAUAUCUUGAUCAUAUAAAGUUAAAGAAAGUGAUGAUAGUUAUUAUACACCUAUAAUAGCUUUCGAAGUUUUAUUGUUAUUUGAUUGUUACAGAAAUUAGUUUUACAAUGGGUAAUAAUGAUAAUUGUGGUAUCAUUAUCAUAGACCAGGUAGAAACUUUAUAAAUAUAAUACUAAAAACUUGAAGGGCUUAAACAAAAUGUUGUUCACCUUUUGAAAAUAGAUUUCAGACUAGACAAAAUAGCCAUCAAACAUUUUCAUAAAAUUUACAAUUUGAAAAUACGUUAAUAUAUUAUUAUUAAUCCCAUACUUUAUUUGAAUUGAAUAUACCUAACAUUUAAUCCUUAGAAAAUACUAAAUGUUCUCCCAAUUUUGCUUGUAACAGCUUGAAUUGGUGGGAUCUUGUCAAACUUUAAUUAGCGUUCCAAAUAAACACACAACAUUACUUUACUUUUAGCAUUUUAUCUCAUAAAGUUUUCUUAAGCUACGUCCAGUCGUAAAGCUGCUUGUCAUAGUUCCAUACAAUUAAUUGUCAAUGCAGAUGCAGUUUAACAAAAAGAGAGAUUACUGUAAGAAUGACCAAGAUAUACUCAAGUGUAAAUUCAUAAAUAGGGUUUAGAUUAGGUGAUAUUACCGCUACCUUCUGAGAGGUAGAGACUGUAUCGAAAAGGACCUGGAGCUAAUCGAGUGGAAAAGAAAGAAACUACUACAUUAACAAACUUUACUCCUAUGUCCCAAGAAAUUGAGAGAUUGUUUUUGAAAGACCUUCAAGCUGGUCGAAUGGACAAGAGAGAUUACAACAGCAAGCAACAACAAUAAUAACAACAACAAUAUGUCCAGUAUAAUUUCUUGGGAGGGAUUCGAAGAGACAAAAUGUUGAUAGAAUUUACUUCUAUUGCUCCAAAAAUAGAGAGGUUAUUUUCGAAGGUUCCUCGCGUACGUCCGGGGGGAGGGCGGGGGUGGGGGGGGAGUUGGAGGGGAAGAGAGAGAGACUAUAUGUUAACUUUUUGACUGGUAACUCAACAAUGUCUUUAUUAUAUUAAAGCCAUCAAACUAAUUUCCAUAAUAAAACGUAUUCAGUUUCUUUUUAAUGUCAUAAAGAGUUUUAAAAUUGAUUUCUUAUAAAUGUCAAAGAAAAAUUCAGUCACUAAAAUUUAAAGCAUUGAAAAGAAGGCUUUAAUUCAAUGUCAAUUUUGCUGACUUAUCACUCCAAUUGAGAGUUCUAUCAUUAAAUAGAAGGACUUGUCCUUGUACAUCGCUAAAGACUGGCCAUAAACUCCCUGUGAUAUCUGUAUCUCCUAAUAUUUGUCAUUUUUAGCUCUUACAUUUUUAAGAAUUUCUCUUAUAUCUAAGUAUUAAAAGUUAUUUAGACUAGUGUUUACAAAGAUUACAUAUUUAUAACAGAAAUUUGUCGAGAUAGCUGGACCAAUAUUAUUUGUCCAUUACCAAGAUCAGAGCCGAAGAAAAAGUUAUUUUGACUCAUGCUAAGGGAAGGUAAUAUAUUGACAGAUUAUACUACUAAGCUAACUUUUUAAAUUUUGUACACGAUUACAAUUUUUUAAAAAAAUUGAUCUAGAAAAACUUACUUCAAAAGAGGUGGAGAAAAAUCAAUUCCAUGAGGUUGGCGCUUACAAAAAUAUUCUACAAUUUUAUAAACAAAAUCUACAUCUCAAGAUCGAUUUUUAUAGCAUCAACAAACCAAAAAAAAAAAAAGUAAAUUAACCUCCUAAGAUCAAAUUCAUUUAAAAAAAAUUUGCAACAGUCAACCUCCGGAGAUUGAUUCUUUUUAAUACAAUUAUUUUUUUUUGCACAUGACCUUAGGAGGUCUACUUUUAAACUUUUAAUUACUAUUUAUUUUUUGAUAAAAGUUAACCGCCGAUAGAAAUGUAUUCUACCAUAAUAAAGAUGAAAAUUUGAAUCACAAAUGGUGUAUCUUAUUAUUUCGCAAUUGAACAUCAACCUCAUGAGAUCGACAUUGUUCAAAAUGAAAAAAUAAAAAUUGGUUUCCUAAAAUCAGUUUAUUUUUUUAAAAAAAUAUAUAUUUACAUAAAAAUCUCAUGCAGUUAAAAAAAUACAGACUUCAUAAAACAAUACCAUAUUAGGAAAAAUUGUCAAUAGUACAAAUUAGAUCUCGUUAAAGGCAAGUGAAAUACAUGUCUACAAAGCACAAAUUUAACUACUCGAGAUGAAGCAACUUAGAAAUGUCAGUCUAGAUGAACAUGCGAGAGAUAUCUCGAAUAAAAUUUUAAAUAGCAAAUGAAGGAGAAAUUAAUAAUACUCAACAAAAUUUCUUGUCUAAAAUAUAAUUCAAAACCAGAGGUUAUGGAGGUUCGGUGAACAAGAUUACCUGGAAGUAGAGUGUAACACCCUGUACUUUCGGGCUAGAAUCUAGACCGUCGUUCCUACGCGUAUUGACCCGAACUAGAUAAUUCCUUGUUAAUAUAUGUGUGGUUAUUAAUCCUAUAGUGUGGGAAUACCUUUGAAUAUGAAUUGAGGUCACAAAAAUCCCCUAACUCUAAGACGAGUUGAAAACAUUUCUAGUGAAUAAGUUUCAGUGAACGUUUAAACUUAGGUCAACUUCCAUUGACCAUAACUUCUUGUAUUUAUCGAAUUAAAGGGCCUAAUAUAUAUGAAAUGAAAGGUCAUUGAAGUAUAUUUCUAACUAUAUCAAUUUGGACAAAAUACAAUACCCGAGCAAAUAGUUACAACCAUUUUUGUGAGAGAGGCAGUAGCUGCGCGCGAUUAGCGUGCGAUGUAUGCUCCAUCGCACCUACCUAAUUUUCAGGUUCUGUUUUCGCGUUUUUAAGGAAAAUGUGGACCUUUUCCUCACCCAAGGUCUGUCCAUAACAUAAGAUUCAUGCCCCAAAAGCAGAAUACACUCCAUAAUUCAAUUUUUCCUCUCAAAUUAAAACCCUAAAUCCUUUCCCUCAAGAUAAAGAAUCAAGAUUUUAAGUCCAAGACUCCAAGAAAAGGGUAAAGAUCCGGGUUCCAUCUAUCAAGAUCUAGGUUCCAUCUUAAAACUCUUAUAGUAUAAGGUACGUGGGGUUUAUCUUGAAAACUACAUGGGCUUGUAAACAUUAGAGCAUGACUAAAAGAUUAUUAAGCAUGAAUUUUAAAGGGGUUUUGGAAUCUAUAUUUAAAUUAUGUAUUCCGAAUGUUUCAAUGUUACUAUUGCUUUGGCCUUGUGGCCUUUUCCCCUACUGGGACUUCAUAGUUUGGAUUGCUCAUCACAGCCAGGGCCUCAGUUCGGAUCGUGAUAAACUUGGUAUCAGAGCAUAGUUCAUGGUCCCAAGGUGUCUGAAAAAUUGCGUCGGGUAAAGUCUUAUUUAUGGGUGUGUAGUACGCCACACUUAUAAGAAGGAGGGUUGUCACAACCAGAACUAGGUCCUGACCGUGACGGACACCUCGAACCAUGAAGGCCCUACGUCCUACUCUAUCUGGUAGUCAUGCACAACAUUCAUAUAAUAAAAGAAAAUGCGGAACUAUGAUAUAAUACGGAAACAUGGUCAUACUCUGGAUUAAAUUAAAAAAUAAGGAAUGAAAUCCAAAAUCAGCAAAAUAACAUCGGGAACAGUUUGAGAAAUCUCUACUACAUGAUAAUCUGACAACUAUAUGAAAACUGGGACAAGGCCCCCAGUAAACCUAAACUGUAAUAGAUGAAAUAAGCUUAAAGGACAGGCCUUAUGGAAUAGAGAAGGCUUACCACUGCACAAUCUGAUCUGAUGUCUGAAUUAUCUACUGCUUAUCUGGACCCCUAGGCUGAGCCUCAGAACCUGACAGGUAGGGGAGGGAGGUCAAUACAAAUGUACCGGUAUGCAACUCAAAUCCAAAAUAAUCAUUUAUAUUCAACAUAUAUGAGAGCAAUUAAAAACAAUUCGUAAACAUAUCAUAUAGUAAUAAAUCACAUGGGAGUUUUAAAAGACUAUGAAAACAUCUGAACUCUCUGAAACUCUUUGUAUUACUUCUGCGCUAGGUGGUAUACCCUACAAAUCUGAAAUUCCAUGGGCUAUAUGGAAAUUGCCAUUAACUCGACAACCAACUGCCAACUUUAGUGUGCCACAAGGGUCAGAGUCUCUGAAUCUACUAUGCCACACUGUUGUCACCAGCGUACAAUAAUAAUGUACCCGUAUCGGUAAAUACGGUUUCAGGAUAAGAGUUACUUGAACCCAAGCCCUCUUAAGGUAACCACCUAACCCUCUUUAAGACCAUUUAUAACUCCUUUAAAAUCAUGUAUUUUCUGAAAACGUAUUCUAAAAAACAUACUCUGAAAUCUCUUAUUUGUUAUGGCAUACAUACAUAUGGUAUAGUCAUACCAUUGACUUUCAAGUCACAUCGAUAAGCCAUUAAUAACAUGUUAUAAACUAUAUUUUCAAAACAUAAGCUUGGGACCACCAUAUCAAUAUAUCAAUUCAAAGAAAACUCUUUCCAAACCUUAUGUAAACAUAUGCAAGGAACUCUCUUUGUCAAGUAUUUCAAUAAUACAAGGUGGUCAUGUCAAAUUUCUCAAUCACAUGCAACUCUUUCUAAAUUAAAACAAGGAUAUAAUUAUAUGCAAAAUCUCCCUUUCGUCAUAUAUAUAUCAUUCUCAAACACUAUAGUAUUGAGAAAACUAUUUUCAAACCAUAAAUCAUGCAUUCCAAAUCAUUCACAUUAAGAUCAUAAACUUGAAUUUAUCAUAAGAUAGGGACUUCAUAAUCUUUCCUCUCAAAAAAAUCUUAAAUCUCAGUUUCAUACAUAUACAUAUACCUGUAAAUCAAUUUAAGGGAAUAAGGCCUAAAUGCCAAAACAACAAUAUCAUUAAACAUGCAUAAAACAUACAAAACUCAUGGAUUCCAAAAUCUCUUUAACAAAUUCAUGUUUGAUAAUCUUUAAAUCAUGAUUGAGUGUUUUCAAAAAGCCCAUGUAGUUUUAGGAUAAACCCCACGUACCUCUUUUUCAAAAAAUAAUGGAUGAUUCUUGAAGCUUACGGAAUGGGGAUUCCAAAUCGCUAAUUAUCUUCUAAAACCCAUGGUUGAAUCUUGAGUUAUUUCGGAUUCUUGCUUGAAACUAUUGGGGGAGUUCUUGAUGAAUUUUGGUGAAAUAUGUGUAAUGUGGUUAUUUUGGAGCUUAAUCCCGUGUUUAAGAAGUUAUAGGGUUUGGAAAAUACCCAAAUACCCUUAAUAUCUCGGGGAAACUGAAUAAUUGGCCUGGGGCGCCGGGCGAGACGCUGCCCUGCCUGGACCCCCGGUCUAAGCAAGGAGCCGCCUUAUGUAUCGCGGGGUUACCCCAAGCCAGGCUCCAGGAAAGGCUUAGUGGGCCAAAUGCCUUUAUCCACUGGUUUGCAACCCCAAAUAUUGCCUUAUGCUCGUCUAAAAAUUCUAAAAAUCACUCGAGACAUACCCUUGACUUCCCUGAUCAUAACACAACUUGAAAAUUAGAAAACGGAGGUCGGGAUGCUCGAGAAUAAAUUCCCCGAAGAUUGAAAGCUAAAAAUGAUUCUAAACCCCCUUUUACACUUAGAAAAUUUUCAAGCUUUUAACUCAACAAGUAUGCUACUACGAUAUGACACAUGAAGGAUUUUACGGGGCGUAUGAACGAUUUCAAGCAUACUAAGGCAUAGGACAAGAAAUAAGAAAAAUAUUGUACCUUCUAUUUUGUCACUUGCUGGAUCAAAUAAGUUUGGGUAUCUAUCUCUUAUGUCAUCUUGUGAUUUCCAAGUUGCUUCUUCAACUUUCUGAUUCCUCCACAACACUUUAACUGGGGAUAUUUCUUUGUUUCUCAACAUCCAAACUUGGAGAUCCAAGAUCGCAAUAGGUGCCUCUUCACAUGUUAAUGAUUCUGACACUUUAAUCUCCUCAACAAGCAACACUAAAAAAUGGUCUCCAAUACAUUUCUUCAACAUAGACACAUGGAAAACUGCAUAGACAGAACCCAAACUUGCUAGAAACUUUAAAUCAUACACAACCCCACCAAUCCUUCUCACGAUCUGUUAUGGUCCUAUAUAACGAGGACUCAACUUAUAUUUCUUCCCGAAUCGCAUGACUCCCUUCAUAGGAGAGACCUUGAGAAACACCCAAUCACCAAUCUCAAAUUCUAAAUCUCUUCUCCUAACAUCGGCGUAGGACUUCUGACGACUCUGAGCUUUCUUAAGUCACUUAUAUGAUUUUCACAUUCUCCAUUCGCUGAUGAACAAGAUCAGGCCCAAACAACUGAGUAUCACCCACUUCAUACCAUCCUAUCGGUGAUCUAUAUCUUAUCCCAUACAAAGCUUCAAACAAAGCCAUCUUAAUACUGGUAUGGUAGCAGUUAUUAUAAGCAAACUCUAUCAAUGUCAAGUGAUCUACCCUACUACCUUUGAAAUCAAUCACACAAGCUCUCAACGUAUCUUCAAGGAUAUGAAUAGUAUAUUCGGCUUGCCCAUCUGUCUGAAGGUGGAAACUGUACUCAGGUUUACUUAGGUACCUAAACCCCUCUUAAAAGAUCUCCAAAACUGUGAAGAGAAUUGCAUACCACGGUCAGAUAUGAUGGACACAGGAGCUCCAUGCAAGUGGACUAUCUCCUCAAUAUAUAACUUGGCAUAAUCAUCUCUAGAAUAGUUAGUUCUAACAGGCAGAAAGUGGGCUGACUUAGUCAGUCGGUCAACGAUUACCCAAAUGGAAUCAUACAGGUUUUGGGACCUCAGAAGUCCCGUAAUAAAAUCCAUAUUGAUCAUUUCCCACUCCAUAAAGGCAAAGAUAUCUCAUGUGAAGUUCCACCUAGCCUCAUAUGUUCCAUUUUAACUAUUUGACAUUUCAAACACUUGGCAACAUAGUUUGCCAUAUCACGCUUCAUAUUUUUCCACCAAUAAAUGGUUUUCAAAUCAUGAUACAUCUUGGUAGAGCCUUGGUGAACAACAUGCCUCGAAGUGUAAGCUUCAUCAAGGAUUCUCUUCCUCUGACCAUCUACAUCUGGAAAACACAAACUAUCAUGAUACCGCAAAAUACCAUCACCACCAAUUUCAAAGGACAUCACCUUCUGUUUACCCACAUCUUUCUUAAUCUAUAUCAAGAUGGGAUCUGUGACUUACUUCUCUUUAACUUCAGCACCAAGGGAUGAUUUAGCCAUCUCAUGAAAAACCACCCAUCCAUCUUUAGAGUAUAAGAGUCGCACCCCAAGAUUUAUAAGUCAGUGAAUAUCCUUUACCAUCUCUCUUUUUCCUUCUUCAAUAUGAGAAAGGUUACCCAUUGACAACCUGCUAAGGGCGUCGGCUACCAUAUUUUCUUACCCGGUGGUAGGGUAGGCUCAUGUCAUAAUCCUUUAGCAAUUACAUCCAGCGCCUUUGCCUAAGGUUCAAUUCUUUCUACAAGAAAACAUACUGUAAACUCUUAUGGUCAGUGAAAUAUCAACAUACACCCCAUAUAGAUAAUACCUCCAGAUCUAAGCGCAAACACCACAACAUAUAACUCUAAUUCAUGGGUAGGGUAAUUGCGCUCAUUCACUUUAAACUACCUAGAUGCAUAAGCCACCACCCUACCAUGCUUAAUUAGAACACACCCAACUCCCACUCGGGAUGCAUCACAAUACACAACAAAACCUUCUGUACCUUCUGGGAUAUUUAGAAUAGGUGUAGUAGUCAAUUUGUCUUUCAACUUCUCAAAACUAUUCUCACAUGAAUCAGACCACACAAAUUUCACCUUUUUUUGAGUCAACUUAGUAAGUGGAGAAGCUAUGGAAGAAAAACUCUCUACGAAUCUUCUAUAAUACCCUGCCAAACCUAAGAAGCUUCGAAUGUCAGUUGGAGUCAAGGGUUUGGGCCAUUUUCUCAUUGCCUAAACCUUUUCGGGAUCCACUUUAAUCCCAUCACUAGACACAAUAUGCCCCAAGAAAUCAAUAACACUUAGCUAGAAUUCUCAUUUAGUGAAUUUUGCAUACAACUUAUGAUCUCUGAUAGUCUGAAGAAUAAUUUUGAGGUGAUUGACAUGGUCCUCCUUACUCUUAGAAUAAAACAAGAUGUCAUCAAUGGAUACUAUGACAAAGAGAUCUAGAAACUGAUGAAAGACCCUAUUCAUUAGAUCCAUGAAGGCUGCAAGGGUGUUAGUCAACCCGAAGGACAUGACUCAUAAUUCAUAAUGACCGUAUCUGGUUUGGAAAGCUGUUUUGGGAAUAUUUAAAUCCCUAACCUUCAACUGAUGAUAUCCCGAAUGAAGGUCUAUCAUUGAAAAACAUUUAGCACCCUGAAGUUAGUCAAGAAGAUCAUCAAUCCUAGGAAAAGGAUAUUUGUUUUUAAUCGUGACCUUAUUCAACUGGCAGUAAUCUAUGCACAUACGAAGGUAUCCAUCUUUCUUUCAUAUGAAGAGUACAGGUGCACCCCAGGGAGAAAUACUAGGAUGGAUAAAACAUUAGAAAAAGUGACCCUUGGGGUCUCACAAUUUAGUAUGGCAUAACAUGAAUGGAGCUAAUCUAUUCCUAAGAUAGCAUCAAAGUCAACCAUCUCAAGAUCUAUAAGGUCUUCCAUAGUAUCCCAUCCACAAACAGUCACAACACAAUCCCUAUACACCGUUCUAGCUAUAAAAGAAUCUCCCACCUGAGUGGAAAUAGAAAAAGGUUCAGCGAUCAAAUUGGGAUCUAACCUAAAACCAACAAUCACGUAAAGGGUCACUUAGGAUAAGGUAGACCAGGGAUUAAGUAAUAUAUAAGCAUCACGAGUAAAGAUUUACAAUGUACUGAUAACUACAUCUAUUGAGGCGUCUGCCUCCUGGCGGUUGGUCAAGGCAUACAACAGGAUGCGGCCAUUUCUGGUAGCUAAAAUGGCACUCUUCUGAGUUAGUGGUGGUGCAGAAGAAUUUGCCUGUGACUUGGCUCCUCUAAUAUUACUCCUUGUUUCCAGACAGUCUCUCUGGAAAUAGCUUGGCUGGCAACAUGAACAAAACACCAAUGCGUCAAACUGACAUCUCCCUAGAUGAUUCCUCUUGUAUCUCCCACAGCGUAGGUAGGACCAAGAGGUCUGGGCUAUACUUCCCUGUGAUUGCGCACCCUGCAUCCUCGGUCCCUAACUAGACUAAAAAUUCUGGGUGCACUAUUUAGCUGGGGGUUAGGACACCGGAGUACUAGCUGCAGAAUAUGCAUUACCCUAAUUCUUUCUCUUUUGCAAUUUGUUACCCCAAUUACCGCUCUGUUGCUGUGCUGUUUUGGCUCUUUUUGCCUUCCUAUCCUUCUCCCUAGAUUCAGCGAUAUUCUUUUUCUUCUCCUCAACUUACUGCACAUGGACUGAUAGCCUAGAAAAAUCUAUGUCCCGGUUCAACAUUACUCCCUGGCAUUCAAGAACUAAGUCAUCUAAAAGGCUGGAAGCAAAUUUCCUUAUUCAGUCCCUCAUAUUUCCAGUCAUUUUAGAAGCAUAACGGGCUAAUUGGUUGAACUUUAGAGUGUACUCCUGGACAGUUAUCUUUCCUUGCUUUAGGUUCAAGAAUUCUUCAACUUUGGCUUCACUCAACUCUAGAGGAAAGAACUAAUCAAUAAAAGCUUCCAUGAACUUGCCCAAACUGUGGGCUCAACACUCUCACCCUUCGCAUUCUCCCACUUAUUAUACCAUUGGUUUGCUACAUCCGUAAGCUGGUACACUGCUAAUUCAACCCCUUCCACCUGGUCUACAUGUUUCACUCUAAAAAUCUUCUCCAUUUUGUCCAAAAACUCCUAUGGAUCCUCUUCUACCUUUGUGCCAGAAAAUUUGGACUGGUUCAUUCUCAUGAACUGACCCACCCUAGUAGCCUCUAAAGUAACAGAUGCAGACCUAGUAUCCUCUGACCUCUGAGUCUGUGCGACUACCAGAUAUGCAAGCAUGUGAAUAGACUGCAGGAAUUGUGCAUUAGAUACCUUCCUCUCGUGAGGCUGAGUGCAGUUAGUCCCUAUCUGGGGAGCUCUAGGUUCCCUAGGUAGGCUGGACUGAGUAGGUGGGACUCCCAGAGUUGCAUCAAUCUCCAGAUUCUGAGCUCUAUUUUGGGUCUUCAUCCCUUUAGAGGAAUGGACCCUAUCUGUCUCUGCAUUUUGAUCGAUAGUAAGACGGGGAGGCAUGAUUGUUUUUUUGAAACACAAGAGACCAUUGAUUAGGGGACAAUUGAUACUUUGAAGCACGAACUAAAUGACAAAUAAAAUAAACAUUCCUAAACACCUAGUAGCCUCUGAAUUAUAAGUGUGGCGCUCUACGCACCCAUACAUAAGACUCUACCCGACUCAAUUUCGCAAAGACCCUGAGACCAUGAACCGUGCUUUGAUACAAAGUUUGUGAUGACCUGAACUAGGGCCUGGCCGUGAUAGACAUCCCAAACCAUGAAGGUCUGGACAUCCAGCUCUAUAUGGUAGUCAUGUACAACAUUUAUAUAAUAAAAGAAUAUACGAAACUAUGAUCUAAUACGGGAAUAUGGUAAUACUCUGGAUUAUAUUAAACAAUAAGGAAUGAAAUCUGAAUUCAGCUAAACAAUAUCUGGAACAGUCUACAAAAUCUAUACUAUAUAAUAAUCUGACAACUAUCGGAAAAUUGGGAUAAGGCACCCAGUAGAAGAAAACUGUAAUAGAUGAAAUAAUCUUAAAGGAUAGGCCUUCUGGAAUAGAGAAGGCUCACAACUAUAUAAUCUAAUCUGCUAUCUAAAUUAUCUACUACUUAUCUGGAUCCCUAGACUGAGCCUUAGAACUUGAGAGGUGGGGGAGGGGGGUUAUACAGAUGUACUAGUACGCAGAGCAAAUCCAAAAUAAUAAAUUAUAUUAAACAUAUAAGAGAGAAAUUUAAAAUAGUUCAUAAACAUAUCAUAUAGUAAGAAACCACAAGGGCGUUAUAAAAGACUCUGUGAAAACAUCUAAACUCUGUGAAACUCUUUGUAUUACUUCUGCGCUAGGUGGUAUACCCUCAAAAUCUAAAAUUCCACGGGCUAUAUGGAAACUUCCGUUAUGUCAAUAGCCAAUCCCCUAACCCAAGUAUGCCACAAAGGUCGGAGUCUCUGAAUCUACUAUGCCACUCGAUCGUCGCCAGCGUAUAAUAAUAAUCUACCCGUAUCGGCAACUAUGGUUUCAGGAUAAGAGUUACUUGAACCCAAGCCCUCUUCAGGUAACCACGUAACCCUCUUUAAGCCCAUUUUUAACUCCUUUAAAAUCAUGCAUUUUCUAAAAACGUAUUCUAAAAACAUACUCUGAAAUCUCUUAUGUUAUGGCAUACAUACUUGUGGUAUCAUCAUACCAUUGACUUGCAAGUCAUAUCUCUGAGCAAUUAAUAAUAUAUUAAAAUCUCGGUUUUUAAAACAUAAGCUUGGGACCACCAUAUCAAUAUAUCAAUUCAAAGAAAACUCUUUCUUAAACCUCAUGUAAACACAUGCAAGGAACUCUCUUUGUCAAGCAUUUUAAUAAUACAAGGUGGUCAGUCAAAUUUCUCAGUCACAUGUAACUCUUUCUCAUUUAAAAUAAGGAUAUAAUUAUAUCUAGAAGCUCUCUCUCGUCAUCUCUAAAUCUUGGUCAACCACUAUGGUAUUGAGAAAACUAUUUUCAAACCAUAAAUCAUGCAUUGCAAAUCAUUAACAUUAUGAUCAUAAACUUGAAUUUAUUACAAGAGAGGAACUUCAUAAUCCUUGCUCUUAAACAAAAUCUUAAAUCUCAAUUUCAUUCAUAUACAUAUACAUGUAAAUCAAUUUAAGCGGAUAACGCCUAAAGGCUAAAACAACAAUAUCAUUAAACAUAUGUAAAAUAUAAUAAAAUUAUGGAUUUUGAAACCCCUAUAACAAAUUCAUUCUUGAUAAUCUUUAAGUGUUUUCAACAAGCCCAUUUAGUUUUAGGAUAAACCACACGUACCUCUAUUUUGAAAAAUAAUGGAUGAUUCUUGAAGCUUACGAUUUGGGGAUUCCAAAUCUCUAAUUAUCUUCUAAAACCCACGGUUGAAUCUUAAGUUAUUUGGGAUUCUUGCUUGAAACCCUUGGGGAACUUCUUGAAGAAUUUUUGAGAAAAUAUGUGUAAUGUGGUUAUUUGGGAGCUUAAUCCAUGUUUAAGAUGUUAUAGGGAUUGGAAAAUACCUAAAAUACCCUCAAUAUCUCAGGGAAACUGAAUAAUUGGCCUGGGGCGCCAGGCGAGGUACCGCCCUGCCUGGACCCUUGCUCUAAGCAAGGCACCACCUUGCCUAUCGCAAGGUUCCCCCAGGCAAGGUUCCAGGCAAGGCGUCGCGCGCUAAACGCCUUUAGCCACUGGUUCACAACCCUAAACAUAGCCUUACGCUUGUCUAAAAAUUGAAAAACUCACCCGAGACGUACCCUUGACUUCCCCGAUCAUAAUGCAACUUGAAAAUUGGAAAAUGGAGGCCGGGAAGGUCGAGAACAAAGCCCCCAAAGAUUGAAAGACAAAACUGAUUCUAAGUCCCCUUUUACACUUAGAUAAUUUUAAAGCUCUUAACUAAACAACCUUGCUACUACAAUAUAACACAUGAAGGAUUUUACGGGGCGUUACAAGGCUAAAAGGUGUUCAGGAAUGUCUCUAUUUCUUCAUGAUCUAGUUCGUGCUAUGGAGUCGUUCCUUUUUUAUACUCUAAUUCAUGCUAUGGUGUCUCCCAUAUGAUAGAAAAGUUAUCCUAAUUCUUUUCUUACUGUGGUGUUCCUAGAUAAUGCUGUCAGAUUUAAUAGCAGAAAUUUCAAAAGUGACAUAAAGGGCUUGAGAGGAUCUCCCUAGUGUGUCAUAAGUCCCUCAAGUUUAAAUUUGUGUCCUCAUUCUUAUGAGGCAUUCAGUUAAGACAAGAGUAAGAUGUGUAUUCUUAGGUCAUUGAAUAUUGUGUGUCAAAUUUCCAUCUCUUGUGAACUUGUUAUCGUUGUGUGUUUUUUGCUUAUGAUGGAGUCAGUAACGAAGUGAUGUAUCCUUAUGUGUUCGGUUAGUAGAAGGUGGAGAAGGAUUUAUUGGUUAAGGUAAAUUGUUGUUUCUUAAAGUAUGAAAAGAGUUGUUGAUAGUAUUUUUUGUGCUAGAAAGGUAUAGGUUAUUGGUAAAGUACUUAGUGGAUAAGUGUUGUUAAUUUAGAGCUCCCUGAGGCUGCAAAAGGGAGUUUAGUUGUAACUUAUAGAGCUGUGAAUGAAUUUUAGGUGUAUAGAUAGGUAAAUACUAAUGAUGUGUAGAAGGAGGAUGCAUUAAUGGAUUGUAAAUAAGAUAGGCCAUAUGAUUAUGGCCGAAUAUUGUUGUUAUGAAAUUCUAGUGGGCUAAUGUUUCUUGAUGUCUUAUUCUAUAACUUCCUAGUGAGAAUUAUAUAUAAGGUGGGUUAUUAUAUAAGAUUAACGUUUACUAUGUCUAUUAUAUGACUUUACCCCUUGACCUUCUUUCCUUUAGUGGUUAUAAACUAGUAAUUCAUAUGAGAAGGUCUAAAGUGGAUAUUGAGCUAUAAUAGUGAUGUCAUGGAGGGGAAUGUGAUUAUUGGUAGUAGUUAAAUGAAAUGAGUAUUUGGAGUUGUUUUCCCAAUUUUAUGGACUGGUACAUUAUGAUGCAUGCUUUGCUUUAUUAGUGGUAGAUGGUUGAUGCUAGACUAUAUGAUUGGACUCUAGAUGUAGAAUGUGGUGGUAAGAAUAGUAUCUUAAGAUUAAUGAAGUAUGUUUUACGGGGAUGAAUUUGUAGGCUUGAAGUGAUUUGCUAAAGAGCCUAGGGUGAUAAUUGAUGAAAGAUUUAAGUGGUAAUUGUGAGGUAUAUGUGUAUAUGAGAAAUAGUGUUAAAAUGAUUACUUGUGUGAGUCAUUAAGUGGAUAAGGGCGUAAAUAUAUAAGAAUAAGUUUCCCCCCAACCCCCCGGUAGUCUGAUGUAAGGUAAGAUUUAAUGAUAUGAAUUAUGAGAUUAACGAUCAUAUGUUUGAAGGUUAACUAGUGAAGAGUGGAGUUUUAUAUGAUAAGAAGCGAGGAAGUGUAUGCUUAGGAGACUGCAUGUUGUAGGUUGAUGACAGUAGGGGAUAUCAAUAGUUAAGAGUAGCGUUCUUGGAAAUCAAUAACUUUAGAGAUUACUUAUAAAGGGGAAGUUUAGCUUUUAUGUAUAUAUGUGUUUUACAUACCUGGGUUGUGUUCUAAAUUGUAGUAUGGAAGAGUCUGGUGAGUUGUUGUACGGUAUUCGUUAGAGUUGAAUUAAGGAAAUACUGGUAGAUCAUAUGAGCCUUGGGUAUGAUUUUACAAAGUUUGUUAAGUUGUAAGUUAGUUGAUUAGAGGUGUAAUGAGAGUAUUCCAAGGAGUUAAAGAUAGAGUGUUAAGUGUUUAGAAGUGGGGAUGUCUAUGCCUAUAAUGAUAUUAGUCAUGAAGUGAUGACUUAAGGGUUAGAAGAAGUUGAUUAGUAUCUCUGGGGGAUGUCCCAAAAGGAAUGUAGUGCCUUUAUGUUAAAUUAUUGAGAGGAGUUGUAUUCAUGUACAUAUUGAUUUCCCUUGGUGAUACUGAGUGUGAAUACGUACUUUCAUGGGAGUGGGGGUUGUAGAGUGAUGGCUAUAAUGGUUAACGAAAGUUAAGAGUAGCAUCUACAGAAAAGCAAGGCCUUCGGGGUAUAUAUCAUUAGGGUGAGUCAGAGUUAAAGUAUAUGGUGAUGUCUCUUUUAUGAUAAGAGUUAUGACUUUAAUCUAAGGGGGAGAUAAGGAAUUAGGUUAGUUCCUGAAAUUUUCUCACUGUGGCGAGUUGGGGAAGAGUCAUGAUGAACCUACUCCUAUUCAAGCAUGGUCCUUUUUCUUCAAUCUAAGAGGUCACUCUUCUAAUGCCUUACGUUAUGUAUCCAAUUCCUACCUAUGUCUAAGGUUUAAGCACUCGAUUUAAUUCAUGACAUGUUUUGACUUCUAAACUAGAAGAAAUAAUGUGCCUCAGCGAUCCAAAAUUCUAAGCAUCCAUACUCUAUGUGACGUUGCUCAUGACUGAUAAAUCUGUGUUCCAAAUCAUGAUUGGUUCUAAGGAACAAUGUUUUUCGUAUGUUGACGUUUCAUUUUAUGUUGGGAUAAACCAAAAUGAUAAAGCUGUGCGAACUCAUGACUAAUUUAGUUUUGAAAAUGGUAAGUGAUAGUUCUAUGUAGAAGUCUUUCCAAAAAUUGUCGACUUCAUGAACUCCACACUCAUGUUAUAAGACCCAUGAUGUAAGCUCUCAUGUUUUUCACUAUGGUUGUUCUAAGAACUCAUGCUAUGUGGAAAUUGUGCCAAAAGGACUCUUCACUUGUGAUCCAAAUACUUGAUAUAUGUAAUACUUUGUGCUUGUACUGUAUCUUCAUGUCCCACCUUGAGUAUGGAAAUCAGUAUAUGUUAUGACCGAAUAGUGUUACUCCCUUUCAUGAUGCUCUUGCUCGGGUCCUUUAAUGACCCUCUAUAUUCUAGUAUGAUGGUGGUUGUGGAAGCGUAUAAGUGUGUUAGGUGGGGGAGUAGAUGUUCUUAAAGGUGAAGAUUUUGAUGUAUUUGUCGAGCUAAGGUUAUAGCUGAAGGGAAAAGAAGGAGAUGAAUUUUGUUGUGUGAAAUAGCCAUGAAGGAGAAAUGUGGCGUAAAUAGUUUUGAGAGUGUUUGAAAUUGCUGGUCUUAGUAGGGAGAUCCAUGUAGUGGUUGUAAUAAUUAUUAGGCUUGAAUGUUCUGAAUGAUGAAAACACAAACCUAUGUACCAUGUGGUUAGUAUUCUUUGAAUUAAGACUUGAGAUUGUUGGAUUACAAUGAUGAGAUGAGGUGAUUUCUUAAUUUGAUGUAGGGUGCAGGACCCAUAGUUUAAGUUAGCUCCUCUUUCCUCUACGUAAGGCUUGAACAUAGAAGUAUUAUACGGAUGGACACAAAUUCUUAUGGGUAGAUGCAUUACGGGAGAAUUGUAAGUUAGGGAUUAUGAAGUAUGUUGAUUAAUGUCAGAGUAUAGAUAAGAAGUGUUGCUAAGUUUAAGUCUUUUAGCUAUAUUUUUUAAGAUGGAGAAUGCUAAUACUCAUGUGUUCCACGAGAAGCUCAUAUCAUGUCUUGUAUUGAUCUUAAUCAGGAAGAGGACUCUUAGAAAAAGUUAUGUUUUGCAAUGUUUUGAUCAUGUGCCAUAAAACACAUGCCAAGAUCAUGUCGAUGUCAAGUUUUGUUGUCUCAGGUUUCGUGCUUACUCGUUUCCCAAGGGGUUAUCAUGAAGAUCGUGUGAUACCUUUUCAUAUUUUUGUCGAGGAAAAAUAUUCAAAUCAAUGUUAUGUUUUUUAUUUUACACUCUUAGAGCUUCAAAAUAUCCCAACCCAUCAUUUGGGGACAAAUGAUCCCAAGGGGGAGAUAAAGCAACACCCCGUACUUUUGGGAUAGAAUCUAGACCGUCGUUCCUAUGCAUAUAGACCUGAACUAGAUAACUCCAUGUUAAUAAAUGUGUGGUUAUCAAUCCUAUAGUUUGGGAAUACCUUUGAAUAUGAAUUGAGGUCACAAAAAUCCCAUAAAUCUAAGACGAGUUGAAAACAUUUCCAGUGAUUAAGUUUCAGUGGACGUUUGAACUUGGGUCAACUUCCAUCAAUCAUAACUUCUUUUAUAUAUCGAAUUAGAGUGCCUAUUAUAUAUAAAAUGAAAGUUCAUCGAAGUAGAUUUCCAACAAUACCAAUUUCUCCAAAAUACGAUACCCGAGAGAAAAGUUACAGCCAUUUUUAUGCGAGAGCUAGUAGCUGCGCGCGAUUAGCAUGCGACGCACGCUCCGUCGCACGCACCUAAUUUUCAUGUUCUGUUUUCGAGUUUUUAAUGCUAAUUUGGAUCUUUACCUCACCCAAGAUCUGUCCAUCACACAAGAUUCAUGCCUCAAAAGAAGAAUACACUCCGUAAUUUAAUUUUUCCUCUCAAAUUAAAACCCUAAAUCCUUUCCCUCAUGAUCAAGAAUCAUUAUCUUAAGUUCAAGAUUCCAAAAAAAAGGGUUAAGAUCUAGGUUUCAUCUAUCAACAUCUAGGUUCCAUCUUUCAACUCUUUUAGUCUAAGGUACGUGGGGUUUAUCCUAAAAACUACAUGGGCUUGUAAACAUUAGAGCAUGAUUUAAAGAUUAUUAAGCAUGAUCUUUAAAGGAGUUUUGGAAUCUAUUUUUAAAUUAUGUAUUCCGAAUGUUUCAAUGUUACUAUUACUUUGGCCUUGUGGGUUUUUUUCCUAAAUUAAUUUACAUGCAUAUGUAUAUGUAUGAAAAUUGAGAUUUGAGAUUGAUUGAGAGCACAAAUUAUGAAUUCCCUCUCGUGUAUUGAAUUAAAGUUUAUGAUUUUGUCAGAAAAGAGUUGAAAUGCAUGUUUUGUGAUGUGAAAGUAGUUUUCUCAAUAUCAUAGUAUUUGAACAUGAUUUAGAGAUUAUGAGAGGGUGUUUCUUGAGAUAUCUAUGUUUUGUGUUAAAGAGAAAGAAUUCCAUGAAAUUAAGAAUUUGGACAUGACCACCUUAGUUUAUUGAGUCGUUGAUAAAGAGAAUUGCUUGCAUGGCUUCACAAGAAUUUUAAAGAAUGAGUUUCUUGAAAAGAAUUGUUGAUAUGGUGGUCUUGAAUACCAUGAUUUGAGAAUAGAGACAUAAUUUGCUAUAAAUGGCUCGGAGAAUGUGACUUGCAAGUCAAUGGUAUGACGAUACCAUGUAAAUAUACGUCAUAACAGAACUAGAGUCUUCAGAGUUUGACUUUUAAAGAUUGCAUGUUGUAAAGAAUUAAAAAUGGUCUUAAACAGGGUUAGGAGGUUACCCGAAGAGGGCACAAGUCAAUCGACUCAUAGCCUAAAAUUAUGUUUUGCCGAUACGUGUAUGUUACUUUUGUACGCUGGCGAUGGCCCUGUAGCGUAUUAUAGAUUUAGAGACUCCGACCCUUGCGGCAAACUUGGGAUGGGGUAUUGGCUGCCGAUUUAAGGCCAGAUUCUAUAUAGCCCUUAGAAUUAUAGAAUUGUAGGGUAUACCACCUAGGACAGAUGUAAAACAAAGAGUAUGUCAUAGAGUUCAGAUGGUUUUAUAAAGUCUUUUUACCACGCCCACGUGAUUUUUACUGUGUGACAUAUUUAUAAACCCUUUUUAAAUUACUCUCAUAUAUGUUGAAUAUCAAAUAUUAUUUUGGGUUUGCUCUUCGUACCAGUACAACUGUAUUGACCCCCUACAUCUCAAGGUCUGAGGCUCAAUCUAGCAGUCCAUCUAAGGAGUAGAUUUUUCCAGACAGAAGUGCAGAGUUCAGUUGGUGAGCCUUCUAUGUUUUCAGAAGGCUUAAUUUCAGACAUUUAUUUAUGGUUUUUGUCUACUGGGGUCCUUGUCCCAGUUUUCAGACAUCUUUGUUUUAUAUGUGUUAGAGAUUUUGCAGACGGAGUCAGAUAUUAUUUUAGAUGUUGUUGAAUUGCAGUUUUUAACAUUUUGUUGAUUUCAGAGCAUGAUCAUGGUCCCAUACUCAGUUAUAUUUCCCCAUUUCUUUUCUGUAUAUGAAUGGUGUAUGUGAUUACAAGUUAGAUGGGCUUCUGGGCAUUCAUGGUUAGGAUUGGUCAUCACGACUAGGACCUUGGUUCAGGUCGUGACAUUGUGAAAGAUUUCUCGAGUGCUCAAAUUAUUAAUGCUUUUUUGUCGGAGAGGAUCUAGAGUUUUCUAUCAAAAAAGAGUUCUUCAACCCGUAGUUCGACUCCCUCAAAUAGAUGAAUUUCAGAUUCACUGUGAAAUUGAGCGCACUAGUUGUUAAGAUUUUAAAAAAUAAGAUUGACGGGUCAAACCCCUAAUUCUAAUAAGUCGUCCAUGAGACUUCUAUAAUAAUGCAAGUCUACAAGCCUCUUAUAAUGAAAAUAAAUCUUAAAUAAGAUUUUUGCUCUAUUAUCUGCUUUUAUACAGGAAAUUUAUUUGAUGAAAGAACUAGUUUGAUUAUGGAAACUCCUUGAGAGAACCUGAAUUGUAAGUUAACUAAUGUAAUGUUGGAGGAAAGUUUCAUAACCAGUAACAGCUAUGUCUAGUUCAAUCCAAUAUUGUUUUUAGAAUUAUACUUAUUGUACGUUGUGGAUUAAGACGCAUUCAUUCGAUCCGCUUAUAAAUACAUUGAAGAAUCAUUUUCACUUCUUGACUUGAUUAAUGGUAAAGUGAUCGAUCAUUUAUUAAUGAUAUUAAUACUAGUUUUUACAGAAUUUAACGACCCAAGCUGAGGCCCUGGCCAUGAAUCCCAAACCAUGAAGGCUCAAGAGACCCUUCGCAUAUUAUCAUAAGGAUAAUUCAUACCAAUGGUAAUGUGGAAGGUUAACUGAAACAUGAAAAUUUUUCAUAAUAAAAAUUAGUAAAUCAAGACAUGAUUCUAUGAAAAUCCAAAUCUAGUCUAACCAGUUUAUGAAGCUUCCACUAAAACAAUAAUCUGUCUAUGCCGGGACAAAGCCCCAUGUCAGAUCAUGAACUUAAAAGAAAUCAACAUAUCGAUAAAGCGCCUUACGAAGUAAUGCAAGCUCACCAACUCUGAAUGUCUAAAAGAAAUCUACUGUUAAGCUAGACUACGGGACUGUGUCUCAGAACCUACAUUAUGAGACCAUGCAGCCACCGCGAGGACGGUCAAUACUUGAAAUGUAUUGUCACAUAGAAAGGCCAAAAGAAAUAACUUUCAAAAUAUCAUAAUAGUCAAAACAUCAUAAAAAUCAUAACAUGGGGUCCUAUGACAUGAAAAUAGUCUGAAAACAUGUAAUGCAGUCCAAAACUGUUUUGUAAACAACAUAAUGUUAUUCUUUAGUUCUGAGCUAGGCGGCAUACCCAACAGGAUCUGAAAAAUCCCAAGGGUUAUGUAGAGUUCGACAUUAACUUGUCGUCCAUUCCGCUAAACUGAGUUUACUUCAAAGAUUGGAUAUAGCAAUGAUAAUUCAUAUUUCAGGACAAAAUCAAUCCCAUACUAGCAAAAAAUAGUUUCAAAAUAUGAAUUAUCUAAACUCGUGCCUUCUUGGUUAGCCACCUAAUUCUCUUUAAGCCCAUAUUUUAACCUCUUAAAAUAUCCAUACUUCCUAAAAACAUGGUCUAAAGUCUGAAAAGUUUAUAGUCUAGUUUGGUCUAUGUAUUUCAUGACAUUUUUCUUAUUUGGUAAAGUCAUACCAAGAAUUUCAAGCCGUAUAAGCCAUAUUAUAUCAUGUCAUAUCAUAUCAUAGCCCUUUUUAUUCAAAAUAUUGUUAUUUAACCACCGCAAGGACUCAAACGUCAUAAGAGAGUCCUCUUUCAAAACUAUUAUGAAAACGUAAGUAAAAAUGUUUUUCUUUCAAAGCUUAACUCUAAAGGUGGUCAUCUCUUUCAUAAACACGUAGUAAAACUCUUCGAGUAAUCAUGGUGGUUUAGUUAAGCUUUCCCAUUCAUGAAAUUUUUUAAUGCUUUUAAGAGAAGGAUUACUCUUUUCAAUCAUAUUCAUUCAAUCACCAAUGAAAAGCAAGAACAACAUCAAAACAAAUGAUAAUUAUGAAAACAUUCGUCAUGCAAAAUUGGGCAAGAAAAUCAUUCUCAGCCUCAUCAUUUUUGUAACACCCCAUACUUUCGGGCUAGAAUCUAGACCGUCGUUCCCACGCGUAUAGACCCGAACUAGAUAAUUCCUUAUUCAUAUAUGUGUUUUUAUCAAUCCUAUUGUGUGGUAAUACCCUUGAAUAUGAAUUGGGGUCACAAAAAUCCCCCAACUCUAAGACGAGUUGAAAACAUUUCUAGCGAUUAAAUUUAUGUGGACGUUUAAACUUAGAUCAAUAUCCAUUGACCAUAACAUCUAUUAUAUAUCGAAAUAGAAGGCCUACUAUAUAUCAAAUAAAAGGUCUUUGAAGUAUCUUUCCAACGAUACCAAUUUCACCAAAAUAUGAUACCCGCGCGAAAUAUUACACACAUUUUCGUGAGAGAGGCAGUAGCUGCACGCGAUUAGCGUGCAACGCACGCUCCUUCGCAUGCACCUAAUUUUCAGGUUUUGUUGUUACAUUUUUAAGGGCAGUUUGGACCUUUACCUCCCCAAAGGUCUGUCCAUAACAUAAGAUUCAUGCCCCAAAAGCAGAAUACACUCCGUCAUUCAAUUUUUCCUCUCAAAUUAAAAUCCUAAAUCCUUUCCCUUAAGAUCAAGAAUCAAGACCAUAAGUUCAAGACUCCAAGAGAAAAGGGUCAAGAUCCGGGUUCCAUCUAUCAAGAUCUAUGUCCCAUCUUUCAACUCUUAUAGUCAAAGGUAUGUGGGGUUUAUCCUAAAAACUACAUGGGCUUGUAAACAUUAGAGAAUGAUUUAGAGAUUAUUAAGGAUAAAUUUUAAAGGGGUUUUGGAAUCUAUAUUAAAUUCUAUAUUUCGAAUGUUUCAAUGUUACUAUUGCUUUGGCCUUGUGGUCUUUUAACCUAAAUUGAUUUACAUGUAUAUGUAUAUGUAUGAAAAUUGAGAUUUGAGAUUGUUUGAGAGUACAAAUUAUGAAUUCCCUCUCGUGUAUUGAAUUAAAGUUUAUGGUUUUGUCGGAAAAGAGUUGUAAUGCAUGUUUUGCGAUGUGAAAGUAGUUUUCUCAAUGUCAUAGUAUUUGAACAAGAUAUAAAGAUGAUGAGAGGGUGUUUCUUGAGAUAUCUAUGUUCUGUGUUAAAGAGAAAGAAUUUCUUGAAAUAAAGAAUUUUGACAUGACCACCUUAGUUUAUUGAGUCGUUGUUAAAUAAAAUUGCUUGCAUGUUUUAUCAUGAGUUUUAAAGAAUGAUUUUCUUGAAAAUAAUUGUUGAUAUGGUGGUCCAGAAUUCCAUGAUUAGAGAAUAGAGACAGAAUUUUCUUUAAAUGGCUCAAAGAAUGUGACUUGCAAGUCAAUAGUACGAUGAUACCAUUUAAAUAUAUUCCAUAAAAGAACUAGAGUCUUCAGAGUUUGAUUUUCAAAGAUUGCUUGUUGUAAAGAAUUAAAAAUGGUCUUAAAGAUGGUUAGGUGUUUUCCCGAAGAGGGCACGAGUCAAUAGACUCAUAGCCUACAACUGUGUUUUGCCGAUACGGGUAUGUUGCUUUUGUACGCUGGCGAUGGCCUAUGGCGUAGUACAAAUUCAGAGACUCUGACCCUUGCGGAAAACUUAGGUUGCAGGCUUGGCUGCUAAGUUAAGGGAAGAUUCUAUAUAGCCCAUGAAAUUACAGAAAUGUAGGGUAUACCACCUAGCGUAGAACUAAAACAAAGACUAAGUCACAGAGUUCAUCUGGUUUUAAAGAUUCUUUUAAUCACGCCCAUGUGACUUUUACUAUGUGACAUAUUUAUGAACCAUUUUUAAAUUGCUCUCAUAUAUGUUGAAUAUCAAAUAUAAUUUUGGGUUUGCUCCGCAAACCAGUACAACUCUAUUGACCCCCUACCUCUCAAGGUUUGAGGCUCAAUCUAGCAAUCCAGCUAAGCUGUAUAUCUUUCCAGAUAGAAGUGCAGAGUUCAUUUGGUGAGCCUUCUAUUUUUAAGAAGGCCUGUUUAAUUUUAGACAUUUAUUUAUGGUUUUGGUCUACUCGGGGCCUUCUCCCAGUUUUCUGACAUCUUUGUUUCCUAUAUAGUAGAUGUUUUGUAGACGGAGUCAGAUAUUAUUUUUGAUGUUGUUGAAUUGUAGUCUUUAAUAUUUUGUUGAUUUCAGAACAUAACCAUGAUCCCAUACUCAGUUAUAUUUCCACAUUUUAUUUCUCUAUAUGAUUGGUGUAUGUGAUUACAAGUUAGAUGGGUGUAUGGGCCUUCAUGGCUCGGAUUGCUGCCUCGUUUCGGGUCAUGAUAAUUUUCAUAAAUCACAAUUCCAUAUGCACACAUACAUAUAUAUAUAAACCCAUUAGAAUUCACAAUUGAGGUUGGAUGCAAAUCUUGUAAUUCAUGCUCUUGUUGGGAAUGAAAAUCUAAAAUCUUUAACUCUUAAAAGAGAUAAAAAAAAUUUUAUUAAUUCAAACCCCAUAAGAUUUAGGUCGUUCUAUGUGCCUCUUAUGGAGAGAAAUUAAAUCAAUGUUUACACUUGGAGCUUGGAAUCCUCAAACCAUAGGUAGUUUUCUACUCUCUUGCUCUUUGAAUGAUGAUCCGGUAUUUACUAAGGGGUAAAAGCAUUUUUAAGGCUCUAAACUUUUAUAUAUGUGAUUUGGAAUGACUGAGGGAUGUGAAAAGACUAUCAUGCCAUUAAAAUAUUACAAAAACGAAUCAAUUUUAACAUAUGGAAGGGGGUCGAGCCAUUGCAAACCUCAGGAUUCGUGAGGUAAACCCCAUCAAGAACCUUAGGGAUCGUGGGGAGAACCCUAUUGUGAACCUUAGGGUUCCUUGGGCAAACGCUACAGCAAACUUGAAGUUGUAGCUCAUUGUGGGGCUAUCCGUAAUGUGGGGAAACAUCGAAGUCCCCAAUUCGCGAUGUAAAGUUCUUUUCUAAUCAUAAAAAUACUCUCAUACCAUUCAAACCCACUAUUAGGUGGCUUAGUGUAAUACCUGGAAUAAUUCUAGCUCAGUCCAACACUUAGUACGUACUUGUAACACUUAGAAGCUGGAUUAAAAUAAAGUUAAGAGUUGAGGACAUAGAUAUUUUUAAGACCUUCCAACCCUAAGGAAUUUAAGUUGACCUACCGGACUCUGAGACAAUGAUUCUUGAGUUUAUUCAUGAUCAGGGGAGUUACGAAUAACUCCUCAAAAAGAUUUCAGAUUUUUAGACUAGGUUUGGAUUGUUUUUGGGUUGAAAUUUCAGUAGCUCACCGCGAUUUCAUCGCGUUGCGGUGAGUAUAGAACCAAGAGGUCCACUGCUUCACGGUGGAGUGAGAAAAGGCAAUUGUUAAUUUCCAGUAACUCACCGCAAUUGCACCGCGUCACAAGGGGUAUAGCGAUGAGGGGAUCACCGCAUCACGUUGAAGGGGUAUUUUUCAUGUUCUUAAUCAAUAAUUUGAAAUGUAUGUUUCACAACCUUCAUCCUAGUGUAUUAAGUGCUUAUUAGGUAAAUAAUGCACCUACAAAUCACAUAGAGCCAAGUUGAGCUAAGAUUCUUUAAUUCAUCCAAUGUUUGGUGUUUGAUUCAACAAGGUUCAACUUUGAAAGUGUAUAACUUUUAAUGUCUAUAGAAUUUUACAUCUCAAGACCUACCAAAUUUUAGAUAAUUGAGUUAGCUUUCCAAUAAUACCAAUUUUACCUAAAUCUGAUACCCGAGUCUAAAGUUAUGACAUUUUUAGUGUGAGGCAGUAAUCUGCCGCGAUUACACCACAUCGCGGUGGCCCUUCAAACAGCAGUAUGGUUUACGAAUUUUUGAUUAAAAUUAUGUAGGGGCAAUGGGGUCUUUUCCCACCUCAACCCAGAUCGUAAAAACAUGAUCUAAGGCUUCAAUUGGGGCAUUAUUUGCCUCUAUUCUCCAAUUUUUCCCUCAAGAACAAACCCUAUUCAAUCCCUUCAAGAAUCAUCAAUUCCAUCUUCUUCUCUUCAACAAAAACAUCAAGAAUUUAGGGUUCCUAACCCAAGAACUUCAAUAAUGUUUUCAAUAUCAUCUCCAAAGGGUUCAAAGUCCAUCUAGUACAUCAAAUCAAGCAUAAUAAGGUAUGUGGGGUUUGAACAAGGACAAAUCUUUCAUUAUUGUGCCAAAAAACUUGAAUUUCAUUAAAGAUUACAUGAUUUGCAAGUUGGGGUUUAUACCCAAAGUAUCUUGUUUUAAGUUUAUGAAAUUAUAUGUGAUUUAAGCCUUGAAUUGCAUGUUUAUCCUACCUAUUUAUGCUUUGAAUUGAGGAUUUAUAUCAUAAAUUGCACAUCCCUAUUGUGAAUUGAUAUUUUCAUGUGUUUCCAAGAUAAUUGUUGAGAAUUAAGCAUCUUUAUUAAAUUGUGAUCAUUUAAGUACAUAAGCUUUAAACCCAAGUAUGAAUUUUGAUAUUUAAUGAAGAGUAUAUUAUGAGCAUGCUUUGGUAAGUAAGUAUUUAGAUUUUAAAGAAACAUUGAUCUUCUAAGCCUAAGCUAAGAUCGGAAUCUAUAUUAUUUAUGAUUUAAAGAAAAGAGAAGCACAAUUGAUUUUCAUUAUUGACCCUUGUGCUGUUUUAAGGUGGAUUUUCCUAAAGUUUUUCAGCAAUAAGUAUAGGAGUAGUAUUUAUCACCGAGUUGGGUAUGAUUCCAAGGUCUUAUGCCCCAGAACUACUUGCCACCGUAGAUGAUGAUUUUCCCAUAGUGGGAUAAGAUAGUGAUCACUUAAGGUUCUAUUCCGAUGGCAAGGGUAGAACAACUCUCCCUAAUGUGGGCAAGACGUUGGACUCAAUGUCAGCUCACAUGGUUUAUGUCAGUUAGAAGGAACUCCCAAGUCUCAAAGUCCCUAAGUCCCAAAGUUCCAAAAUUUCCAAAGUUUCCAAAUUAUCCAAGUUUCAAAAGAAAAGAAUGAUAGAAAAUCUUUUAUAAGACUAAGUGUAAAGGCCCACAUAUUUAUUCAGAUUAUUUUUUACGAAAAGAUAAAAGUUAUAGUUUUCAGAUUUCACAUGCAAACGUGAGCUCUUUCUGUGCAACUCCAUAAUUCUCCAUACAUAACCAUUCAAGAUAACCUGAGUACUAGAUUCCAAUUCCUCCGAAGAUGAUUCUUUCAGAUUUACUAUCAGUAGUUCAGAAGUCAAAAAAGGGGCUUGAGAGGAGCUCUCUGGUAUGUCAUAAGUCCCUAAAGUUGAAAGUUAUGUCCUCAUCUAUACGAGUUGUUCAGUUUAUAUUGAAUAAGAUAUGCAUUCAGAUUCCACAUUAUUUCUUCAAUAUAGAUAGUGCUUAUAAGAAAAGAUAGUAUAAACCUAGAUUGUUGAAUAGAGUUGGCAUUUGAGGGAUAUUGCAACCUUGAGUUGUAUGGUUCAUAAGUAUUAGAACCAUUUUAUAGUUGUACGUAUAGGUAUAGGAGUGUAGUGGCUAGAAAGUAUGAAUGACGAUUGAUAGAUAGUGUAGAGAUAAACUUAUGCAUGUUAUCGAGAUGUGUUAAGGUGAUAUAUCCUUGAGUUUUAGUUUAGUAGAUGGUGAAGAAGUAUUUAUUAGUUAAGGUGAAUUGUUGUGUGCUUGAAGUACGGAAGGAGUUAUUGAUGAUAUUUGUUAUGUUAGGAAGGCAUAGGAUAUCAAUGGAAGUAUCUGGGGGUUGAGUAUUUUAAAUCUAAGUUAAUAGAUGGGUGAAUAGUAGUAAUGUGUAGAAGUAGUAUGUGCUAAUGGAAUACAAUAAGGAAGACUAUAAGGUCAUGAUCGAUUAUUGUUGUUACAAAGUUCUAGUGGAAUAAUGUUUCUUGAUAUUUUAUUUUAUAGUCUCCAAGAGAGAAUAGUAGGUGAUGUUGGUUUGUUAGUCAUGUCUAGCACUAGACACUAAGUUGGAUAGUGAAUGACUAUUAAGGUGGAAAUAAUGGUUUCUUGGUUAGUGAUACUAAUUAUAUAGAGGUGAUCUAAUAGGCUUGAACAGUGCAUAUAAGAAUUUAAGUUUGUUCACUUGAAAUUUUGCAUGAUGUUGUAUGUAUGAUGAAGUAUGCCUAAGGUGAUACGGAGUUGCAUUAUUCUCCAAAGUUAUUAUGUGUUGUGUGCGGUUGGUAUUACCCUUGAGUUGCUAAGAGGAAAGAGACUAUUUAUAUAGUAUAUGAUGUUCAUAAUAGCUAAGUUAAGUUGUUGAGUUAUGGAUAGACGAUGUUGAGCCUUUUUGGUAUGAUCUUGAUUCAUAUGGUUUAGAAAUAUAAGUUUAGAGAUGCGAUAUUAGUAGGCUAUAGUGGAAGCAGUCAAGUUUGUUAAAGGUUGAAUAAAUCUUUGUUAAGUGUUAGAAUCUACGUUUGUGAGUGUUUAAGAUGUUAUGUGAUGACUGUUGGACUAUGGAAAGAUAGAGUUGUAUCUCAGAAGAAGGUAUUAGCAGCGGGUUUUACACUUUUAGGUGUAGUCUUUCGGAGUAAGUUUAUUAUUUGCGUGUAUUAUCGUAUUCAAGACUCCAGAGUGCAAUGAGUGUAGUUCAGUUUAGAGCUUAGUAAGGGAUUCAACAGACUUAGAUUUAUGGCUUAAAACUAGAGGACAGAUGAUAGAAUGAGUAACCAAGUCAGGGUCUCAGAUUUUAGUAGUAAUGACAAUAUGUUAUAGAACAUCAGAAAGUGAGGAUUAGGCUUAACCCAUUAUAAUAUCAGUAUUUUAGUUAUCCCAAUACCUACUCAUGCCAUACGUUUCAGUUUCAUGAUCAUAGUUCAUGUUCAUGCAUAUGAUGAAGAAUCAUGGACUAUCCCAGUUCCUAAUAUGGGGAGUUCCAGUUCAUUCAGCCGUCAGAAUCACAUUCCAUAAGUUAUGAAGUCCAAAUUCAGGUCAUGCAUCUCAUGACUUAUGUACUCAUACUUUACGGUAUGUUCAGUUUCAAGUACUCAUGCAACACUCUUAACGAUCAACGAAAAAUUAAGAUUUGUAUUAUGUACAUCCUCAGACUAGAUCUCUUUAAUGAAUCCAUGCCGUGAAUGUUGUAUUCCUCAGGCCUUUGUACCCUGGAAUUUCACCAACCUUUCCAUGACCUUUCUUUAGGUACAGAUAACGAUGAUGAAUAACAGUGUAGAUGGGAGGAAGUAAAUGAGUUAUGUUAGUAAAGAUUUUUGUAUGCUUGUUUUAUGUAAUUCUAUGAGUCUGAAGGAAUAUUGAAGGUGAAGUUUUGUGUAUAACUUGCUCAGUUGAGAAUAUUUUAUGUGUGUCUUCCUAAGAAUUAAAUAGUGCAUGGAAGUUGUUAUUGAUGGACGUAUUAGAGAAUAUGAGAAGGAUGCUUUGUGAGUGUUUGUUUAGAAGUGCAUAUGUGGUUAUGAAGAUAGACUUGAAUUUCUUCAUUAGUAUGUAAGAGGUUAAAUUUAGUUGUUAAAAUAGUACGAAGAAUUAUACUAGAGGUGAGUAGUUAUGAUAGUGGUUGGUGGAUUGAAUUCAUGGUUCAAAUUAGUAUUACGGUGUGGUUUUAUGUGUAGCACCUUAUGAUUUUGAGUUAGGCUUGACCACGAUGAGUGAAUUUAGUUCAGUUAGACUUUAGUAGACGGAUGUAUCAAUGCCAUGUGAGAAUUAUAAGUUGAAUCGAGCUAGUAUAGUAUUUGAGGGGAAUAGAGUAGUUGAGAGAUAGUGUUUGAGAAGUGUUGCUAAGCUUUAAAGUAAGAAGUUGCAUUUCUUAAGGCCUAGAUAUUCUAUCCUGACUUAUGAUUUAUAGGUCUAAGUUCCAUGCUAUAGAUUUGGGGAAAUGUUGUAACCUCUUAUUCAGAGGUCUUGUUCAAAUCAUGCCCAGAAUUCUUUGCUCCCUAAUAUCGUUAGAACUUCCUAAAAGAGUGUUGGAGAAAUACUUCAUUUAAGUAUGAUUCAAUCCAUGUAGCCUGUAAUCCAGUUUAGCAAUCAUGCAGAUAAGCUUCUAUCGAUUUCCAUCUUCCCAUUUAGUCCUACUACCUAAGGUCUCGAGAGUAGGGCCAUACGAAGAGGAAAUUUUUUUUCUUUAUGUACCUUACGAAUACAGCUCAGCCCAUUCAUCAUGAAUCACUUUCACAUUAAGAUAUUAAGUCAUGAUUUAGUUCAUAAGUAUUCAGCGAAUGAUCUUAGUUUUCCAAAUAUUCCAUCUCAGACAGUGCAAUACCCAAUAUAUGAUCUUAGCCUCGUUGUCUCAUGAUUUUUUCCUACAUAAACUAUUACCUCACAUUUUUAUAUGUAUGAUUGCACCAUGAGCACAUCAAGCGAAUUCUAAGCCCUCAACAUGAAUUAGCUCUUUAAAAUAAGUAAAGGUAAUCCAACUCAGAAAUCAGUUUCUUAAUAGAGGUUUCUAAUGUUCCAGACUUAGUACUAUAAAUAUGUUCCCAGAUGUAAAUGUUCAAUACGUAACCUCAUUUACCUUAGUACAAUACUCUCAACUUAAUCAGUAUCAUUCGGGGACGAACAAUCCCAAGAGGAGAGAUAUUGUACUACCCCGAGUUUUCAUGUCAUUAACCUCUCAUCUUUUCCUCACGAAAUUAGAUCUAGCCUAAAGUAAUGGUUAUUCAUAAGUUGACUCACUCAUUUCUAUUUCAUCCAUAUAGCUGUUUUCAUGAGAGUUCAUACACUCCCAGACAAGUCCAGUAGCUCAUUUUUUUUAAGAUUCAGUUAUUUGGUUUAUUUCAAUUGUGCAUGCCAGUUAUAGCCUCAGUUUUCAACAUAUCAACUUAAUUAGUCUCAUUCGAGGACGAAUGUUUCCAAGGGAGAGAUAUUGUAAUAACCAGAACAUUUCUAUCUCUGUUCAACCGUUAGUACGAACUUGUAACACUUAGAAGCUUGAAAAAAUAAAGUUAAUAGUUGAGGACUUAGACAUUUUAAAGACCUUCUAACCCUGAAGAAUUUAAGUUGACCUUCCGAACUCUGAAACAAUGGUUCUUGAGUUGAUUCAUGAUCAGGGAAGUUAGGAAUAAUACCUCAAGAAGAUUUUAGAUUUUUAGACUAGGUUUGGAUUGUUUUUGGGUUAAAAUUCCAGUAGCUCACCUCGAUUCCAUCGUGCCAUGAUGUGUAUAGCGCCAAUAGGGCUACACAUCGUGGUGGAGUGUGAAAAGACAAUUGUCAAUUUCCAGUAACUCAUCGCGAUUGCACCGCGUCGCGAGGCGUAUAGUGAUGAAGGGAUCACGGCAUCGCAGUCAAGGUGUAUUUGUCAUGUUCUUAAUCCAUAAUUUGAAACGUAGGUUUCACGACCUUUAUCCUAGUGUAUGAAGUGCUUAUUAAGUGAAUAAUAUUCCUACAAAUCACUUAGAGCCAAGUUGAGCUAAGAUCCUUUAAUUCGUCCAAUAUUUGGUGUUUGAUUCUACAAGGGUCAGGUUUAAAAGUGCAUAACUUUGGAUGUAUGUAGAAUUUUUCAGCUAAAGACCCACCAAAUUGUAUUUAAUUUAGUUAGCUUUCCAACAGUACCAAUUUCACCUAAAUUCGAUACCCGAGUAAAAAGUUAUGACAUUUUUAGUGUGAGGCAGUAAGCUGCCUCAAUUAUACCGUAUGGCGGUGUCCCCUCAAACGGCAAUACGGGUUACGAAUUAUUGGUUUAAAUUAUGGAGGGAUAAUGGGGUAUUUUCCACCUCAACCCAGGUCGUAAAAACAUGAUCUAAGGCUUCAAUUAGGGCAUUAUUUGCCCCUAUUCUCCUAUUUUUCCCUCAAGAACAAACCCUAAUCAAUCCCUUCAAGAAUCAUCAAUUUCAUCUUCUUCUCUUCAAUAAAAAGAUCAAGAAUUUAGGGUUCCUAACCCAAGAACUUCAAGAAUGUUUUCAAGAUCAUCUCUAAAGUGUUCAAAGUCAAGCUAGUACAUCAAAUCAAGCAUAAUAAGUAAUAUGGGGUUUGAAAAAGGACAAAUCUUUCAUUCUUGUUCCCAGAAAUUUGAAUUUUAUUAAAGAUUACAUGAUUUGCAAGUUGGGGUUCAUACCAAAAAGUAUCUUGUUUUAGGUUUAUGAAAUUAUAAGUGAUUUAAGACUUGAAUUGCAUGUUUAACCCACCUAUUUAUGCUUUGAAUUGAGUAUUUAUAUCAUAAAUUGUACAUCCCUAUUGUUAAUUGAUAUUUUCAAAUGUUUCCAAGAUAGUUGUUGAGAAUGAAUCUUCAUUAUGAAAUUGUGAUCAUUUAAGUACAUAAGAUUUAAACCCAAGUAUGAAUUUUGAUAUUUCAUGACGAGUAUAUUAUUAGCAUGCUUUGACAAGUAUUCAGAUUUUAAAGAAAGAUUGAUCUUCUGAUCCUAAGCUAAGAUAGGAAUCCACAUUAUUUAUGAUUUAAACAAAGAGAGUGUUGUUUUAAGAUGGAUUUUCCCAAAAGUUUUAAACGAUAAGUAUGGGAAUAGUAUUUAGCACCAAGUUGGGUAUGAUUCAAAGGUCUCAUGCCCCAGAACUAUGUGCCAUCGUAGGUUAUGAUUUUACUAAAGUGGGCUAAGAUAAUGAUCACUUAAGUUAAGGUUCUAUUUUGAUGGCAAGGGAAGAACAGCUCUCCCCAACGUGGGAAGACGUUGGAUCCAUGUCAGCUAACAUGGUUUAUGUCGGUUAGAAUAAACUCCCAAGUCCCUAAGUCCCAAAUUUUAAUAAUUUCCAAAGUUUUCAAAGUCUCUAAGUUUCAAAAGAAAAGAACGAUAUUAAAGAUUUUAUAAGACUAAGUGUAAAGGAUAUUCAGAUUAUGCUUUAUGAAAAGAUAAAAGUUAUAGUUUUCAGUUUUCAAAUUUCAGAUUCAAACGAGAGCUCUUUCUGCACUUAGCCAGCAUGAUUUAACGAGAAAGUACAAUUACAACUUUUAGAACUAAAUGUUAUGACUCACUAGAUUCAUAAAGUAUGAUUUCCUAUUCACGAUUUUAGAUUUCAGUAUUUCAGAUAUUUCUAGCUUACGUGAGUCAUUUUAAUUUAGCAUGCAUUGUUUUACAAAUUAUGAUGACGAGAUAAUGUUUUAAUUAUGCAUUCACCCCAUAUACUCAGUACACCCUCAAAGUACUGAUCCAAAUGUACGUCUAUGUGCUACAUUGUCUCAUAAUAUAGGUAUCAGUUGUAGCACUCACAUCAUAAUCGGAUAGUUUGCACCUUCCGGUCAGCAGGUGAUGGGUUCUUUUGUUUCAAGGACUUGAGUGAAGUAUAAUAUUAGUAGCUUUUCUUUUAUUCAGUUGUAUUGAUUAGGGAUAGUUGGUGUCAUGUCCCGGCUACCUAUAGUCAGUACUAGUAGAGAGUUCGUAGACAGAGAAUAGAAGUUGAUGUAUUUGAUUCUAGUUUGUUUUGCAUAAUCAGUGUUGUAAUUAUUUUCAUAUAGUUUGUAUUUUAUCAAGUUUAGAAAAGAUUUAUAUUUCCUUAUUUUCUUCAAAUUUAUGUGUUUUAUUCAAUUGCUUAUGAGUUAUGGAAGAACAAGGGUUAGCUUGGGAUCACUUGUGACCCUAAGAAUCGUGUGAUGUCUCGAGACCCAUUUUUGGAGCGUUACAUUUAUCAUCAAUAUCAGGGUCCUAUAGAAUCGUUCAAAUCAAUAUUUAAGCACCGAAAAGCCUGGGGUGUUAAAAUAUUCCCCCCCUCCCUGGGUUCAUUCAUCCCCGAAUGAUGACUCGAAAUACAUUAAGCACGAUUUAAGAAGUUACAUGGAAUAAAAUUAAGAUAAGAUUAAUACCUUCCAUGAUAUCAUCUGACGAUUCGAAAAGUGAUGGGUACACAUAUCAUCGUUUGAUCCCCAUGUAGCUUCCUCUACCUAUUGAUUCCUCCACGAUACUUCAACAAACCUAUCUUCUUACUUCUCAACUUCCAAACUUGUUGAUCAAAUAUAGCUAUAGGUUUUUCUUCAUAUGUAAGUGAAUCCUUUAUACCAAUGUCCUUGACUAGAAACACAAGUGAAUGAUCUCCAAUACACUUCUUAAGCAUUGACACAUAAAAUUUAGGAUAAGCUGAAGCUAAACUUGCUGGCAAAUCUAAAUCAUACACAACUCCACAAAUCCUACUCGCAAUCUGAUUAGCAACUAUGUAAUGAUGACUAACUUUUUCUUUCUUACCAAAUCUCAUGACUCUCUCCUUACGGAAUACUUUUAGAAAAUAACCAAUCAUCAACCUCAAAUUUUAAAUCCCUUCUUCUUACAUUGCCAUAGGACUUUUGGCCACUUUAGGCUGUCUUAAGUCUCUUUAUAAUGACUUUCAAUUUCAUGAUCACCUAAUGGACAAGGUCUGAUCAAAAUAAGCAAGUUUAACCAACCUUAUACCGACCAAUCGAUGAUUUAUACCUCCUUUCAUAGAGAGCCUCAAAAGGAGACAUUUGAAUGCUAGAGUGGUAGCUAUUGUUAUAGGCGAAUUCAAAUACAGGAAAGUGAUCUAACCAACUACCUUUAAAGUCAAUCAUUCAAGCCGUUAGCAUAUCCCCUAAAGUAUGAAUAGUAUGUUCCAUUUGCACAUCCUCUUGAGGGUGGAAAGCAGUGCUAUGUUUUAAUUGGGCACCCAAACCUUUCUAAAAAGACUUCCAAAACUGAGAAAAGAAUUCCGUACCUUGAUCGAAUAUAAUGGGCACCGAAUCUCCAUGCAAAAACACUAUCUCUUGAAUGUACAACUUCGCAUAAUCAUCUUCCAAAUACUUAGUCCUCAUAGGCAAAAGUGAGCUGACUUAGUCAUCCUAUUCACAAUAACCCAUAUUGAAUCAUAUUAGUUUCAGGAUCAAUGGAGUCCAAAAAUAAAGUUCAUGUUGAUCAUCUACCACUUCCAUAAAGGCAAAGCUAUGUCCUGGGAGGUACCACCUAGCCUCAAUUACUCUACCUUAACUUGUUGGUGAUUCAAACACUUAGCUACAAAGUUAGCAACAUCUCUUUUCAUGUAAUUCCACUAGUAAAUUUCCUUUAGGUCAUGAUAUGUCUUAGUGAAUCCAGUAUGAACAAUGUACCUGGAAGUAUUAGCUACAUCAAGGAUCCUUAAUCACAACCCAUCCAUAUUCGACACAUAGAACUUACCCUGGUAUCACAUAAUACCAUCUCCUACAAUCUUAAAUGCCAUAAACUUUUCCUAACCAACAUCCUUCAUUAUCUGCUUCUAUAUGGGAUCUCUGGCUUAUAUUUUCUUAACCUCAUUACAUAAGGAUGAUUUAGGUACUUCUUGGACAAACAAUCCUCCAUCCUCGGAGUCUAGGAGUCAAACACCGAUAUGAGCAUGCCGAUGAAUAUCCUAGACCAAAUUACUCUUUCCUUCCUCAACAUGAGAAAACUUUUCCAUGUAAAACCUACUAAGAACAUCACCAACCAUAUUAGUUUUGCAUGAAUGAUAGUGCAAGCUCAUAUCAGAAUCCUUCAACACCUUCAACCAUUGCCUCUUCCUAAGUUUCAACUCUUUCUGGGUUAAUACGUACUGAAACCUCUUAUGAUUAGUAAAUAUGUAAGAAUGUACUCUAUAUAGAUAAUGACGUCAAAUUUUAAGCGCAAAAACCACAAUCGCCCACUCGAAAUCAUAGGUGGGAUAGUCUUUCUCAUGGACUUUCAACUUCCUGGAUGCAUAGGCCUCCACCUUAACAUGCUUUAUAAGUACACACCUAUGUCCCACCUGAGAUGCAUCACAGUAUACCAUGAAACACUUUGUCCUCUCAAGAAGGGCAAAGACAAGAGCAGUAGUCAACAUGUAUUUCAAUCUUUCAAAACUAUUCUCAGAAGCUUCAGACUAAAAACAUUACCUUCUUCUGAGUCAACCUAUUAAGUGGAGCAACUAUGGAUGAAAAAUCUCUACAAACCUCCUAUAAUAUCCUACCAAGCACAAGAAGCUCCAAAUGCCUGUCAAAGCCGUGGUUCUGUGACAUUUCUUUACAGCCUCAAUCUUUUGGGGAUCAAACUAAAUUAUGUCACUAGAAAUAAUAUCUCCCAGGAAAGCUAUUGCACUGAGCCAUAACUCACACUUAGAGAAUUUUGCAAACAACUCAUGAUUUUUAAGGGUGUAAAGCACGAUUCGUAGGUGAUUAGCAUGAUCUUCCUCACUCUGAGAGUAAACAAAAAUAACUUUGACGAAAACAAUAACAAAUAGGUCCAAAAAAUAAUGGAACACCCUAUUCAUGAGGUCCAAAAGUGCAUAAGGGAAUUAGUCAGUCUAAAGGACAUGACCAUUAAUUCAUUGUGACCAUACCGGGUUCAAAAAGUUAUUUUUGGAAUGUCAACCUCCCUAACCUUCAAUUAAUGAUAACCCAAACAGAGGUCCAUUAUAGAGAAACAUCUAGCACCCUAAAACAUGUAAAAAGGAUCAUUAAAUUUUGUGAAGAUGGUACUUAUGCUUAACAACGUCUUUAUUCAAGUAACAGUAAUCUAUACAUAUAUGGAGGGAGCCAUAUUUAUUACAUAUGAAGAGAAUAGAAGAACCCUAGGAAGAGAUAUUAGGAUGAAUAAGGACCUUAUCAAGAAGAUCUUUAAACUUCUCUUUAAAUUCUUUAAAUUCCAUCGGGGACAUUCCAUACAAUGGAAUAGAAAUAGGCUGAGUGUCUGGCAACAAGUCAAUACCAAAGUCUAUUUCCCUAUCCGGUGUAUCCCAGGGAGGUCAUCCGGAAAGACUUCAAGAAUUCAUUAACUACUAGGGCCAACUGGGAAGAAUGACUUUCAUUCCUAGAAUUAUUGACCUCAAUGGGGAAUUGCUUUGGAAGUAAGGAAAACUCAAUCCCAAAAAUACUGCCCAUAUUUGGUUUUGAGGAGGGUCGGUAACAUUGUGUAUGAGCUGGAAUUUCCCUCUAGUGUGGGUUCUAUUCACCCGGUGUUCCAUGUGUCGAUAUUGAAGAAGUUUGUGUGUGAUCAUUCAUUGGUUAUUCCCGUAGACAACAUUGGUAUUUUGAACUCUUUGUCUUAUGAGGAAAUCUCGGUGAUGAUCUUGGAUCGGCAAAUUCAUCAAUUACGACAGAAGGACGUAGAUUCAAUAAAGGAUCUCUAGUGGAACCAAAAGUUUGAAGAAGCUACUUGGAAAAAUGAGAAGGAUGUGAAGUCCAAGUAUCUGUUGCUAUUCCCAAUUUUAGAAAAUUGUGCUUAAGAUAUAUGUGUUCUUAACAUCUUUGUUUUCUAGCUUUGUUAAAGGAAAACUUGUAGAUUUGUUGACUUUUAUGUUUUUUAAAUUUUUAAAUGGGAAUUGUGGUUGUAUUUCUAUGUUAAAUUGUGCUAAUAAAUGCCUUGACCCAACAUUUGAGGAUGAAUGAUCCUAAGGGGGAAGAUGAAACACCCCAAAAUUUUGUUUCUUAAAAAUUCCAAGUUCUUGACCUCACUACUUGGACUACGACUCCCCUUACGAGUCGUAGGGUGUCUUUACGGGUAUUAAGGACCCAAUCAUAGCCUAAGAAGUGUGGGUGGCUAAGUCUUCUAUUAUGAGAACGAGUGGCUCUGAAUGAGUCGUAUAGAUUCAUUAUGAGUCGUGUCCUCCGUAGAGUGACCAAUGUGAUGCCCAAUGGUUAUUAUUAUGACUAUGACUGAUGGUCAUGAUUCGUAAAGACUCAGUACGAGUCAUUUGGUCCCAAUCAUAUCCAAGUCAAUGUGUACCUCAAGUGUUUCUUUCCUAACAAUGACUUGGACCCUAUGAGUUGUAUGGUCCCUUAACGAGUUGUAUGAUGUCAGUCGUAGGGUCACCUAUUAGUAGACCAUAUGACACUGUCUCAAUUACGACUCAUGGUGACGGGUCUUAAUGAUUCGUGGUCACUAGCGACCAAAUUUUCAGUCUUAUCAUUAACGGCAUUCUGGUCAAUUCUUCUUUUUUCCCUACUUAGUCCCCACGACCACAAAGCACUAAAGGGAUUCAUUUCUCAUUCACAACUCAGCCAAAACAUUCUCAAAUCUCUAAAACUUCUCUCAAGCAACUUAGGGUUUCCAAGAAGUUGGUCAUCUAAGGGCUCAAGAGUCGAUUUAUCUCGAUAAAUCUUAGUAUUUCAGCAAGUGAUUCUACACUUACGCUUAAUAUCUCUAUUUCAUGAAAAUACAUGUUUGUUUAUGUGAUUGAAAAUAAGGUUUUUAAAAUGGUUGAUGUAUUUUGACUCAACUGGUCUUUAAAUUGAUUUUCCAUGGUUAUUUAUGUACUAUUCGUGCUUAUUGAUGGUUUUGAAACUUGUGGGAUUCAUUGGUUUGGUUGAUAAACAAAGUGGUCAUGUUUUCCAAAAGAUUAAUGGUUUUGCCUAGACUUUUGGCUUUGGAAAUUGUCCAUUCUCUACCAAAUUGUGAAAUUGAUAAUGAUAAUUGCCUUGUCACAAGAUUUGACUUGUCUACUUGAACUAAUGCAUUCGUAUAAAAGGUUAAUGAAGUAUAAAUGGAUCCAUAAAGGCCUUAGUGGCCAUGAGUUUAUUUGAAUUGGAGCCUUAGGGCUUGGUUGGCUAAAUGAUUUGAGUCUCAAAUGUUUGACUAAUUUGAUGUCCCUUUUGCACAACGGGUUCGAAUCACAAUUGAUGAAAUAAUUGUCAUGGCAUGUUAUACACUUGCAAGUGGGGUUGGUAUGAUGAUACCAACGAGAUGCCUUAAUACUUAAUUGGGUUAAUAAUCAGGAAUAUAAGUUGAUUGUUUUAAAUUGUCCUUUAAAGAGGGUUGUAUAGCCAGGUUGUGAAGAAAAUAUUAUUAAGUUUGUACGUGACAAAGAUAAAACUUUUGUUGGUACACAUAUUUUUGCAUGAUCAAUCGAUGAUGGAAAAGCUUCAUUAUUUGAUGAAGUUAGAGGAGUCGAGAAAAAGAAGCAAGAAUUUCCAAUAAGGCAUGGUUCAAAGCUUCAUCUGAGUUCUUCCGCGAAAAGUUCAGGAUAGCAUCCAAAAAAUCACUUUAAGGGGGAUUGUGAAAAUAUCAAUGUAGAUUUUUGAAAUCAUAGAUUUCUAUUAAUGUUUCUAGAAUAGUCUAGAGUAGUAUUUAGGAUAAUCAACUUGAUGAAAUAUCUAGAUAUUCUAGAGUAAUGGUAGAAGAUAAAUAUCACUAGGCUUUUAUCUUAUAGAAUUGUCUAGCUAUUCUAGAGUAAUUGAAGAUAAGGAUCACUAGAUAUUUCUUAUACAAGUAUCUUGAAAAAUAUCUAGAAUCUUCCAUAGGCAAGUAUAAAUAGGAGUCACAUUGUACAUUUUUAACCAUCCAAAAAACAAACUCAAAACAAUCCAAUUUAAAUAGUCUUCUUCUAGACCCAGGUUUCCUUUAAAUAUAUUCCUUUACAUUCAUAGCUACGAUCUUGAGAUAGAAGAACGUCUUCCCAAUUACAUCUUUUUUCUGCAAUUCUCUACAGGGUUGCCAUUACUGGAUCGACUUUGUUGGGAAAGGCUGGGAUACUUCUUGGAUCAGUUGACCUUGCCGAAUCCAAGGAUGUUUUACUCCCCUUGUGACACCAGUGAGUGAAAUACGAAAUAAAUAGUUAUUCUUGGAUUCAGCAAUGUCAACUGAUCCACAAGUGCAUGGCCUUUCCCAACGAAGCCGAUCUAAAAAGGACAACCCCGCCAUUAGCAUGAUUUAUAAGAUGGUUCCACUCCUUUCUGGCUGCGCAAGCAGAGAAAUAAACCAUUACAGGCUGAUAGUUUUCUUGUAAAAGGUGGAAGGAAACAAAGAGUUUUGGGAAAAUGGGAUAUAUUUUAUGAGAUAAAUUACCUCAAUUUGAUGAAUAUUUUAAGAGAUCUGGGAGCAGAAGGAGGGUGGGAAAAAGUUCUAUUUUAGUUUAGUAUGUGAGUAGAUUUAUAGGUGUACAAGAUUUGAAUAAAUUGGUUUUCUAUGUAAAUUUGAACAUAUUUCGUUUAAAUAAAUUUUCAUAUUUAGAAUUUACAUAAAACUAUUAUAAAUUGUUAUAAUUAAUAAUUCAAACAUAUUUUAAAACAAUAAUGAGAAAAGAAUUCAUCAUUUGAUUCUCCAAAUAAUAUCUUGAUCAUAUGAAGUUAAAGAAAG
rnacentral:lncRNA from 1 species